rnacentral:lncRNA from 1 species
GUUGCAAUAUCUUUAAAAAUUGACGGUACACAUGCUUUUUUUAAAAUAAGAUCUCAUCUCAGAGUUAGAGUAAACUGUCAAGACUUAAAACUUACUUACUUUACCUUCACCAUGGGACUUGUAACUGUCACUUCUGUCUCUUAUUCUUGAUCAGCUAUAGCUCUAGGGUUUUUGUAGAUUUUCAAAUAAAACUCAGAGAUUCCUUGUAUGACUCUCUCAUAUCUCUCUUUUGUGGUAUUUCUGGAUCCUUACCAAGGCAGUGGUGGUAUAUGCCUUCUCUCAAUAUAUGUAGUAUUUGUGGUAUAAAGCAUAGUGACAUUGCCUUCUCUCUCACCCUACUCUAAUAAGGCUUUAAUAUCUGGAGCUCAUAGGUGGGAGAUAAAAUAUACAUACUUACAAGACAUGUAUUGUAUAGUCAAACCAUGGAUCCAAAGAAACAAAUCAAUAAGUCAAAUCACGAUGUGCAUGUGUGGCGAAUGAAUGGUGUAUGGUGAUGACAAUGGUGAAAGUCUAAUUCUACUUUUGCUCUUUGAGGGGAUACAUACCUUCCUUGCUUUUUGAAAUUUUAUGAGGAGAAUGAGAUGCUCUUUAUUUUUUUUCUUUUCUCUAAGGUGGGUAUCUUGUACCCCUAAUUCUACUGUCGGACACUUGUCCAUUUUUACCUCUCGUCUCACUUUUUGUUUUCUUUGAGGUUCCGGGCACUUGCCCCUUUUUAUUUUCUCGUAUCUCUCUUUUUUUUAGAGCACUCAUCUCUUGAGAUAAUAUAGCAAGUGGUAGUAACAAGACAACUUGAGUAUUUAGUUCAUAAGGAAAAACAGAAAAGUUUUUGGCUAUUCUCUCCUGGAUUAGGAGUAGAAUAUUUUUGGGUGAUUCUGGAGAUGGAAAUGGAUCGAUAUAUGUGGAUGGUACUUCCGGAGUAGAAGUAGCAUAUAUGAGUGAACGUGCAAGUGAAAUCUUGAUUUAACCACAUGACAAGCUCCUAAGUGAAAUCUUGAUUUAACCACACUCAAUGCUCAUAAGCAGUAAAUAAUAAAUGUGUGGCUCAAUGUCUAGCAAACAUGUAUAUAUGGCUGUGGUAGGAAUUUAAACUCUCAUCAUACAGGAACUCAUCAUGCAACAUUUUAAAGAUUUUCAAAGAUAAAAUUCUCCAGAAUUAUAGCAUCUCUAGGAACAGAUAAACAGCAGCUCAACCUUCCCAUAUCGUAUCCGUUAACAACUUAGACUUCAGAUCAAGUUUUUAUCCCACAAGUUUAGGUCUAGAGCAAGCCUUAAAUUAUAACAGUUAUGUCUAAACUUGAGAGAGAACUUCAAAUGUGCAAAUUAGGCAGAGCAACUAUUUAUCAUAUCCAUGCUUGAGUUUUAUUAUUAAGAUACAGAUUAGCAUAGCCACUUUAUUUAUUUAUUAAACACACUAAGCAAAAGAUAUAUAUAUAUAUAAGCAUAAAAUCUUUAUUCGGUUUUUCAUAGUUAUGUAUAUCUAUAUUUUAAUAUAGUAUAAGUAUAAAGAUAGAUAGAAAUACUUAUCGGGACAAAUGGGGGUGCUCUCCCCCAAGCUGAAUUUUGACGUAAUUUCUCUUGAUGUAGCUAACAGGUGGUAGAGGUGUAUUUGAAAAUCAGCAGCAUUCUGACAGCGAUUAGAAUGUUCUCCGUCUGCUAGUCUUCUUUAUUCUUAAAUUCUGUGGAGCUCAAAUAGACAACAAAGCUUGUGGAACGGAUUAAGUAUUAGCAUAAAUAUCUAGUCUUUAUCAUGUUGAGACUCCUCAAUAAUUAUUACUCCCUGUUUUUAUAUUUUUAUUUUAUAAAGCAGAAAAGGAAUAUUUAUUUUAUUUUUAUGCCACCACUGUGAAUGUACUUAUGGGUUUUAUGCCACUCGUAUACUCACAUGGGGCUUACUGUUUUUCAUAUUUUUAUUUUAUUUUUAAGAUAGUAUGAACAUAAUUAACUAAGUAAACUAGUUGACAUAAUUGAAAGGGAAAGGAUAACUAGCAAGUUUACCUCUAGGCAAGGCAUUCGGUGUUUUUAAGUCCUUCGAACAGGACUCUCCUCUUUCUCAAUUGUCCUGAGAUUCGUUGGGUGGCGGAGUCGGUACUUCCGGCAGCGCCUCCUCUUCAUGUAUAGUUAUCUUCUCUUUCCAUACCUGACUCGGUGCUACGGUCUCCUCUGGAUAAUUUUGUUUAAACUCUACGUCUUCUGACCUUACAACUUCUCCUUCGUAGUCUGCCCCUCCGUCCUUGAUGAUUUGCCUCCUCUGGUUGCGGUUUCGUUGUUUUUUGACCUGCUUAGAUUCUUCAACGAUAUAGUUAGGGUCAGAAAAAUAAUGGCGUACCUUCUCUGAGGGAAGUGCAUAUGGACUUCUCCAGUUCCAAUGUAGAUGAUUGUUUUUACGGUGCUGAGGAACGGUCUUCCAAGGAUGAUGGGUGGAUCGUAUUCGUCUUCUCCCAUGUCAAUAACUUGAAAGUCUGUGUAGACAAAAUGAUCGUCUAUUUUGACUGGGACAUCAGUUACUAUUCCUUUAACUUCUCGAAACGUCUGAUCUGCCAUCUGGAGCUGAAUGUAUGUUGGUUUCAAGGGCAUGGUUCCGAACAAGAGCCGAUAGGUGACUGCGGCCAUUAUAUUGACGCCCGAUCCGGUGUCGCAAGUCAUCUUGUAGAAGUUGUAUCCAUUUAUGGAGCAGUAGAUGCUUGGCAUUCCUGGGUCGUCCUUCUUGGUCAAAAACGGUGACUUAAGUUGAUGAUCUUGGCCUCCAUGAACUACAGUGACCAUCUUAGCUAACUCGGUCCAUACUUGCUUGUUCCUGUUCCUCCUGUUGGUCCUCUUCCUUGAUUCACGUCUGGAUUGAUUUGGAAUUUGUGUAGUCUUGUUCUUGAAGAAAAAUGUCUCCUUCCUCCCUUUGAUAUAGAAACUGAUUUUGGCAGCACUGGCGUAGAUGAUAGCUCCCGUGGUGUUCAAGAAUGGCCUCCCUAAGAUGAUGGGUGCUCUUUCAUCGUUUUCGGUCUCUACCACUAUGAAGUCUGCUGGGGCAUACAAGGCAUACCAACUCGGAUGCAAAGGUUCUUCACUAUUCCUUUUGGAAAAGUUAUCGCCUGAUCUGCAAACUGCAAACACAUGGUUGUCUCUAAUAAAGGAUAUGUAAAGAAUUUUUCAUAGAUUACCCUGGGUAUAAUGUUGACGCUAGAGCCAAAGUCGCAGAGUGCUUCUGGGACGUCCACCAUGCCGAUGGAGAUCGGGAUGACUGGGCGUCCUGGUUCACCUCUCUUGACCGGCAGAAGGUCAGUAGAGAAUUCAGUGACGGGGUUACUCCAAUUACCUGCAACAAACAUGUCUACAAGAUUUGCAGAUUCUAAUCCUUCCGGUUGUGAUGGUAUACCGGGGUUAGUAGUAGGAACAGCAGCAGCUAUUUGAUUUAACCAAGAUUCAAUCAUUUUAUUAAAGCUAAUUUGAUUCUUGAUGGCAGUAGAGAAAUUAUCCAUUCUAUUAUUUAUAUUUUCUAGCAUUUUAUCAUUAGAUGCAAAUUUCUUAGAUAAUUUAUCCAUUAGCUUUCCUUGAUUAGACACUAACUCUCUCAAAGGUGGAAAAAUAUUAUUAUUGUUGUAAGAAUUGUUACCUUGAUAAUUACCAACCUUGAUUUUGUUGAGGACGGUUGUAGUAGAUGUUGUUGUUGUUGUUGAUGUAGUUCACAUCCUCAAGUAUCUCAGGGCAGUGAUUGCCUGAGUGUCCAGUGUCUCCACACUCCUCACAAGUCAUGUGAGAGUCGUAGAUGUGCAUAACUUCUUUCUUGUCUCCAACUCUCUCAUCGAGCUUCUUCAUGAGCAGGUCUAGCUUUGCAGACAACAUGUCUACCUCCUUGAGCUGAUGCAUACCUCCACCUCUCUUGCGUGUCUGGGUCCUCUCUUCAUUCCAGCUUUGGUUGGAUGCCAUCUUUUCCAUAAUAGCUGUGGCUUGUGAUAUAGUAAGUGAUAAGAAUGCUCCUCCAGCUGCAGCAUCCAUGGUCUCUCGGGCACUAUUGCCGAGUCCAUGAUAAAACGUCUGCAUUAGUAGCCAACUCUCCAUUCCAUGAUGGGGACAUUCUAGGAUGUAGUCUUGGAAGCGCUCCCAUGCUUCUGGAACAGAUUCAUCAUUUUGUUGCUGAAAACUUGCAAUCUUCCCACGGAGAGCAUUGGUCUUGCCCAUGGCAAAGAAUUUUGCCAGGAAGUUUGUUGAGCAGAGUGCCCACGUUGUAUUCUUCUCCUUUGUAGCAUAGAACCACUGUUUCGCUCUCCCUAAUAGUGAGAAUGGGAAGAGGCGAAGUAGUAUAGCAUCUUUGGAAACUCCUGAUAUGGUGAAUGUGUUGCAUAUCUCCAGGAAGUGUUGUAAAUGAGCACUAGCAUCUUCAUGUGCCUUCCCAGAGAACUGGUUGGAUUGCACCAUGUUGAUAAGUCCAGGCUUGAGCUCAAAGUUGCCGUCGAUCUCUACAGCAGGUCCAGUGCGGAUGUUGUCCGUAGUGGGAGCUGAGAACUCGCGGAUUGAUUUGUUCGCCAUGGCUUCGAACUCUGAAGACAAGUUCCGGUGAUCUUCUUGAUUGGAUGAAGCUUCUUGCUGAAGUGUUGAUGAUCUCUUCUUGAGCUUGGCUCUCGUCAUCUUGAAUAAUGCUUCGGGAUUGUCAACAAAAUUUCCUAGAACAUGUCUUCUAUUCAUACAUUCCCCUGCAUAAGGUAAAAUAGGAAAAUAUCGGGGUAAAACUGUAUGAGAGAAUAGAUAAGCUCAAUCAUAUUAGUGAUGCAAAUGAUAACUCAAAAUCCUUUAUUCCAUUCCAACAAGGCGCUACAUGGCGUCCGACCCUCGACCAGACGUGUUUCCUUCCUAGGGGAGGGUUGGGCGUCGAAUGACGGCACUGCCACCACUCUGACGUAUCAGCCGCCAUGACAUACAAGCGUGCAACGGACAAACCAGCCCAAGACGGCGUACAGAGCGGGAUAUGAGGGCACGCGUAAUCAUCAUCAAGCUACCAGGACGGGACGGCUCGAGACCACGCCGGUACGGUGGCCUCGAGUAGGUCAGCGCGCCAUGCCUCUAUCGACCCCUACUCUGUCACCUAUACAUGUACCCUAUGUCUCUCCUUGGAGCUAUAAAAGGGGAGACCCGAGAAUGAACACGGGAGACAACAAAAAAAACACCACACUCACACGUAGAGGAGUCUACAUACUCCAUCUCAGUUCAUACACACUUGUAUUCGCCCCUAUACAAGCACUUAGGUGCAAGAUAAUACAAACUCCCCUCCCCCGCUGGACGUAGGGCCUUCUCUUGCCCGAACCAGGAUAAAUCUUUGUGUCUUCUUGCAUCACUAUCUGGGAAAGGGAAACACGCAUACAAAUUCACUCGUUGGUGUGACCCCCCGUGGGGAAAACACCGACACGUCUGAUGCAACUAUCUGAGCUAGAAGAAUGGAGAGAGAAAGCCUACCACAAUUCAAGGAUCUAUAAAGAGAGAACAAAACGAUGGCAUGAUAAUAGAAUCAAGCACAAGGAGUUUAAGCCUGGAGAUAAGGUUCUACUUUUCAAUUCAAGAGUUAAGCUCUUUGGGCAUGGUAAGCUACGAAGUAAGUGGGAUGGACCAUACAAGGUUAUUGACACUCCAACUCAUGGAGCCAUUACCAUCCAAGACGACAUAGGUAAGACUUUUAAGGUAAAUGGUCAAUGCUUGAAAAUCUAUCUCGAGCCACAAAACAACCUAGUAGAGGACCUUGAUGUGAUUGAGUUCAUAGAACUCUCACAUUAAGCUCUGAUAAGCUCUAGACAAUUACCUAACCCUUAACAUGCUCCACAAGUUUUGUUGUCUAUUUGGGUUGUGCAGGAUUUUGAGGCUUAAGAUGAGUGAGACCGAACAAGCAGGCCACAAGAGUGAACGACUAUGUGAACAUCCAGCUUGGGGGAGGCAUCCCCAUGUGUAUCUAGAUAAGUAUUAGUUUUAUUUCUUGGUUUUAUUUUCUAGUAUUCGAAAAUAAAUAAAAAGAAUGCAUAACCAUGAAACCAAACAAAGUUUUUCUUUUGAGUAAUAUACAAUAGUUUUGUGUAAUCCUAAGUUUUAAAUAAAAUAAAAAGAAAGUUUGAUUCAAGUCUAGGUAAUUGACAAACAUGAUAUGAGCUACUAUUUAACUUGUUCCAAGUAUUCCUAGAGUUCUGGAGAUUUUAUCUUUUGAAAUCUAAAAAUCCAAAGAAAAAAAAUGAUGAUGAGAUCCUGUUUGACAUAAUACCUAGAUUCUUAUAAGAUAUAAAUAUUAAAGCUGUAGGCGCUUGCUUUGUUCAAGCCAUUGUUAAUUCUUGUAGUUUUGGUUGAGAGAAUUAUCAUGCUCCAAAGAUCAAGGUCCUUUUGUUUUAAAAAUAUAAAAGAUUCACUCUUCCGAAGUAUUAUUGCGUUAGAGGCAUGGGACUAUGCAAAAAUUUGAUUCAAAAGUGUCUGACAGUAGAAUUAGUGGUACUUGGUGCCCACUUGAAAAAAAAAUAUAUAAAAAAAAGAAAAAAGAGAGAGACUAAAAAAGAAAGAAAAAAAAUGAUAGCCCAUGGUCCCUCUAAUAAGCAAUAUGCCAGUAAGAGAUGACAAACUUUUCAAAAAGGUCAAAGGUCUUGAUCUAGGAGGAUGACAUUCCUCUCCCUUGCUCCGAGCAUUGAUAUAGCAAAAUGCAAAGUAAGUAUGCUAAAACUUUUAAAGCUCUAUUUAUAUAUCUUUCGAGAAGAAGUCAAAUGCCUUAGUUUUAUUUUGGAAACUUACAAAAAAAACUCCAGAACAAAGGUAAGACAAAAGAACUUGAGACAUAGUGCUUGACUUGAUCGUUCUAUUUUUCAAUCACUUAAGACCUUAGUGAUAACUUAAAAACCCUGUAGUAAGAGGCAUAAAGGUAACCCCUGUUUUCUUGCUGAUUUUAGCUUUGCUCAGGGACGAGCAAAGGUUAAGCUUGGGGGAGCUUGUUGACGGUCCUUAAUGCUCAAAUUUAACGAUCAACUAAUCAAGGAAAAAGACCUAUAUGCAACCAACAUCCAAAAUUAGGGUUUCAUCUGACAAAAUUCCACAAAUUUUGGUGUUUGUCUAUUUGUGCAGGGGGUUAUCCGGAAAUAUGCAAGAAAGGCCCACAUGUUGGGAUUACAUAGAGAUAUUAACGGGCCAUGCAAUUUUGUACCAUCUAGAAGACUCCAGAAGCCACGGGAACGAACGGGAAGGCAAUCGGACUCGGAGGCAGGGCGCCCGCCCUACUCUCCUGGGCGCCCACCCUCCUAUAGUGUCCAAUUUGGACCCGUUUCGCGGAUCACGCUCCCCUGACCUAAAGGAUCAAGGAUAACCGUUCAAUCAAUGUCGGUUUGAUCCGACGACCCAGAUUCAUCUGAAAAGACUAUAUAAGCAAGGCCCCCUGACCCCUGGAGAGCAUACCUCUUCUACAGAAUCAAAGUUAGGGUUUCAAUUCUUCAUCCAAGUAGAGAGGAUCCCUCUACUUCAUCUAGUUCUAGCUCUAGUUCAUCUAGUUCUAGUUCUUCUAGUUCUAGUUCUAGUUAGUUCUAGUUGUAAUCUAGAAAAUAGGGAGAGAGAAGAGGAGAGCAAAGGAGGAGGAGCCGGAUCUGUCGGAUCUUCCUCAACAUUGUACUUUUGCAGCAACUGGUUUGUUCUUCAUCGUUCUCCAGGUUCUUCAAUUCAUAAUUCCUGAGUUCUUUAAUUACUUUUAUUUACAUUCAAGUUAUUUACUGUAUUCCGCUUGCAUCAAGUGCUCUAAUCUUUGCAACAUUAGAGUAGUAAUUAAUAGAUUAGACGUGGUGUUUAGUCUUGCAAUUACAUGGAAUUGCACCCAAUCCUGCGGAUUGUUGCGGUAGCCCUAGGAUAGUGACAGCCCUAACAGUCGACGUAUUCCACCUCGUUCGGAUCGGUGUUUGUAGGACCAUAGUCAGAGCUUCCUAGCCCCCUUCUCAUCUCUUUCUGUGGUUAGUGUUCUGAUGUCCCGAAAUAGAUAAUCUUUGAAGUAAUUCUUGAUUCAUAGAUCAACUAGAGAACUCUCAGGAAACUUCCUCUCUUCCCACCAAAAAUAAUUAUAUAGUUAUCCUUGGGCGAUCUUGAAUCUUAAUUAGUACACUCACGUUCCCUGUGGAAAAUCGAUACUCUGGAAUACUCCCGGGUGAAAGCUACAUCGGUAUCCGUGCGCUUGCGGAUUUUUCUGUUUGUGUUUAAAAUACCCAGCAUUCCUGUAAUUUUAGUGCCUAUGAAUGAUGGCUCUUGGAGGAUGUGUGUUGACUGUAGAGCUAAAAAUAAUAUCACUUUUCGCUAUUGUCAUCCUAUGCCACAUUUAGAUGAUAUGCUUGAUGAAUUGAGUGGUUCCACCAUAUUCACUAAAAUUGAUUUGAGAAGUGGAUACCAUUAGAUAAGAAUGAAAACAGGGGAUGAACGGAAAACUGCAUUUAAAACAAAAUUUGGGUUGUAUGAAUGGUUAGUUAUGCCUUUCGGUUUGACUAAUGCUCCUAGUACUUUCAUGAUAUUAAUGAACCAUGUCUUGAGAGAUUUCAUUGGAAAAUUUGUUGUUGUCUACUUCGAUGAUAUCUUAAUUUAUAGCAAGUCUUUUGAGGAACAUGUGAAUCAUAUUCGGCAAGUCUUGGAAGAGCUUAGAAAGAAGAAAUUAUUUGCUAAUCUUGAGAAAUACAGUUUUUGCACAGACCAUGAUGUGUUUCUUGGCUUUGUUGUUUCAGGAAAGGGCAUAUAAGUGGAUGAAAGCAAGGUGAAAGCCAUCAAGGAUUGGCCAACUCCCACAAAUGUAAGUCAAGUAAGAAGUUUUCAUGGCCUUGCUGGUUUUUAUAGGAGGUUUGUGAGAGAUUUCAGUACCAUCGCUGCUCCUUUGAAUGAAUUGACAAAGAAAGGUGUUGACUUUAAACGGGGAAAAUCACGACAAAAUGCACUUCAAGAAUUAAAGAAACGUUUAACUGAAGCACCAUUACCUGUUCUUCAUAAUUUCACUAAAACUUUUGAAGUUGAAUGGGAUGCUAAACAAAUUUGCAUAGGAGUUUUUAUGCAACAAGGAAAACCUGUAUCUUAUUUUAGUGAAAAACUAGGAGGUGCUCAACUGAAUUAUUUUGUGUAUGAUAAAGAAUUAUAUGCUUUGUUACGUGUGCUUGAAACAUGGCAGCACUACUUAUGGUCGAAAGAAUUUGUUAUUCACUCUGAUCAUGAAGCUUUGAAAUACUUGAAAGGACAAGCAAAACUGAAACGUUGUCAUGCCAAAUGGGUUGAGUUCAUCGAAAUGUUUUCAUACAUUGUGAAAUAUAAGAAAGUGAAUCGCACAUUGUCAAUGUUGCUGCGAACAAUGGUGAAAAAGAGACUGAAGGUUUGGGAGGAAUGCUUGCCACAUGUGGAGUUUGCAUAUAACAGGGCAGUACACGCUACCACUAAUAUGUGUACUUUUGAAAUUGUAUAUGGGUUCAAACCUAUUGCUCCGAUAGAUUUGUUGCCCCUUCCACUGUAGGAAAUAACCAAUAUGGAAGCCUCCAAGCGUGCUGCAUACAUCAAGAAGGUACACGAGAAGACCAAGGAAGCAAUUGAACUCAAGGCUGCAAGUAUGAACAAACAUAGGAAGAAGGUGUUAUUUGAACCAGGGGACUUGGUGUCGAUACACUUGCGCAAGGAUCGCUUUCCUCAGCAGCGCAAAUCAAAAUUGCUGCCACGAGGAGAUGGUCCAUUUCAUGUUCUUAAGAAGAUCAAUGACAAUGCAUACAAGAUUGAUCUUCCUGCAAGUUAUGGCAUGUGCAACUCCUUCAAUGUUGAUUAUCUCUCACCAUUCACAAGUGAAAACACUUUAGAGUCGAGGACGACUCCUUUUCAAGGCGGGGAGGAUGAUAUGACCACGUCACCAAGAAAGAUGUCACAAGCUCUAAGUCAAGCUACACCCACUCAAGUUUCACCUACACCGACACCAGCCCAUGUCAUCAAUCGACCGAUUACACGUAGUCGUGCAAAGAAGCUACAAAAAGAGGUACACGCGCUACUUUGUGAGAUUCAUUUUAACAUUAAUAAGAAUUAUAUACUACCUAUGUGUUGUACCUUGAUUGUACUCAGUUAUAUAGAAGAAGAGAAGGAUGAAUCGGACCCUAAAGAAUGGACCAGUGCAAGUUCCAGAAGAAGUCAAAAACGGACCCAUGAAAGUCAAAAAUGGACCAGUACAAGAAAUCUUCAUAAGUUUUUACUCACAAAAGCUAUGAAGGUCCAUGAGCACUUGUUGGAAAUCUUGACGAGUCUACUUUCCAAUGAAUCUAGUGGUGACCAGUUUGGAUACUCCAUAUUGCCUGCAGACCAGAAUUAGUACAGACUGCUCAGAAGGUCAACAGUCUGUCGUGACAGAAUGUUGGUAUAACUUAACAAGUAAAACUGUACCAAUCUACAAUAUUUCAUGCUGGUUGGUAUAUGUUACUGGAAAGCCCUUUGAGUCUAGUUUCACACCCAAGAAACAGUUCAUCAUUUGGACUUCCCAAUAAAAAGUUAUGGUCAGUUUAUUGGAAACUGCUCUGGAGGCCAACAGUCACGCGAAGCCACUUCGGGAAUCUAUUUCGAGGGGACCUUUCACAUUGCCUUCCCUCAGAAACUCUAUUUCGUUUUCAUACCUAUCUAGAAGGGCUGUUGCUAGUAUAAAUACCACCUAAGACUCAUUGUAAUCUAAGACUUUGAUAAUUGAAAUACAGAACCGCUUUGUUCAGCUGCGUGCUAACAAAUCCAGAGAGUGAUCUAUACCCCUUUGCUCUUGUGAUUUCCUCGCGGGAUUACAUAGGCGGUGGCUUCAUCCGCUCCCAAUUGAUGCUCCUACUCCCUUCAAGGUAUUCCUUGAUUGAUUGUAUGCUGUGUUGGUUGGUUCCUUGAGAGUGUGGUUGGGCGAAUCCUCGAUUCAGGUUGCCGGUUAAAGACGGUGGUUGGCUUCGAGUUUUAUUUGCCAGGUUCCACUAGUUAUCGCUGCUUGCAGCAAGUUAUCCGGCUGUUCUUCAGCUAGUUAUCAGUGUUUAUCCUACGUCGUGAAGAUCGGGACAACGUGUCACAUCACCUAGCCCAAACACCACGUUUACGCUAGAGAUGAUUACUCUAAACUCUACGCAAAGAGAUUAAAGUAAACUCAUAAACCAAAGAACAAUAAAACAAUAACUUACUAGUAUUUAGAAGUCGAAAUACUGAAGAAUCCUAGGAGCAAGAUUCGGGUUAGGAGAACUUGAUCCCGCAGGUACAACCUCAAAGUAGACACUGACAGGCCGGGCUUCCUCCGAUCUACACCUCCACUCUAUCUCUCUUAAUCUAGUAGAUCCAGUCUACUCUCACAUUGGAUGCUAAGCCCUAAGUCUAUGUAGAGGAAAGGUUAUCCUUCGAGGGCACUGUUGACGGUCCUUAAUUAUCAAAUUUAAUUAUCAAAUAAACAAAAAAAAGGAUCCAAAUGAAAUCAACAUCUAGACUUAGGGUUUUAUCUGACAGAAUUCCACGAGUUCUGGUGUUUGUCUAUUCCUGCAGGGGGUUAUCAGAGAAUACGGAACAAAGGCCCACACGUCGGGAUUACAUAGAGAUAUUAACAUGCCGCGCAAUUAUCUUACAUCUAGAAGACUCCAGAAACCACGAGACCGAAGCGGAGCCGAAACGGGGCCAGAGGCACGGCGCCCGCCCCCUCUGAGAGUCCAAUCAGGACUCUGCUUCGUGGGAGAUCUCCACCGACCUAAAGGAUCAAGGAUAACCGUUCAAUCUAAGUCGGUUUGAUCCAACGGCCCAUAUUCACUUGAAGGGACUAUAAAACCAGACCCCCUGGCCCCUGGAGGAGAGAGCCUCUCAACCCUAAUUCAUUAUUCUUCAAGGGAGAAGAAGCCUCUGAUCAAGAUUAGAGCCACCACAUCAAUUAGAUAUGUAGAUUAGCAUAGCUACAUAGGAUUAGAACUAGAAGGAGUCAAUCUUCGAUUGGUUUCCGGAUCUGUCAAGAGGAUUCUUGGUAAUUCUCUAAUUGUGCUUCUAAUUGUUCUUCUAAUUAUCUUUGUUCUUCAAUAUUAUGAAUAUGACUUUGUUCUACUUCAAUAUAUUGCUUAUGACUUUGCUCUACUUGCUUAUAUUCAAGAUUAUAUUGUUCUUAGUUUAUCAUGGUUAUAUACUUGGCUUAGUUAAAUUGGAUCUAUAUAUAUGCUUAGGAUCGUAUAGCGUUUAUCCAUCGGAUCCAUGGGUAAAUGAUAGAUAUUGUGUAGGCGUGGUGCUUAUACCGUAUUUAUCUGCGAUUGCACCCAAUAUGCCAGAUCGUGGGGUAGUUCGUGAUAGUGACAGCUUCAUUGAUUCUUAUAUAGUCCCCCUCUCGUGUAUUGGGCUGGCAGAGCAAUAUUAUUACAGGGGAGUGAUUUCUAUGUUUCUCAUUUACCUUGCUAAUAUCACAAUGCAUGGGCGUAGUCUUGUCUCGCAAUGAUUGCUAAGUAUGCUUGCACUAACUAUGAUAAUGCUAAACUAUAUAGUUGAGAAUAACUUAGGGAAUAUUCUUGUAGUUCGUUCUAAUACCAUGCUAAUGACUUUCUAGAGUAUCUAAUUGAGGUGCUUAUCACAUUUAUAUGUGGCUGAUCAGAUUAAUUAUCUUUGUCACUAUUUAUUAUUUCAUAUAUCUUUUAUGUGACAUUUAUCCCUGUAUGAAGAGUUAGAUAAAUGUUCUCAAUUAUACAUGCAAUGAUAGAUACUCAAUCUUAUAUUCUAUUCUGUAAUCAAUAUUGAUGAUUGUUAAUCCCUUCCCAGUGGUAAAAAUAUAAAUAACGAUACCUAGAAUAUUGUCCGGUUAAAAUGCUGCAUCGGUAUUAAUCUGUGCGCUUGCAGAUCCCAUUCAUUAUUUAUUUAGAAGAGCAAUUGCAUAUUUCAAUACCGCGUCUCUCAUGUCAUGCUGGGGAUGACAACUUGGCUUAAGUGGUGUGAGGGAUAGGUUUGGCAUUUUUGGCACCGUUACUAGAUUUAGAGAACUUAGUCUACUUUUGGUAAUGAUGUUAAGAAUACCCAACAAGCAUUUUUGGCGCCGUUGUCGGGGAAGGUUGAUUACUAAUCAGGAAUGGAAUAAAGGAUUUUGAGUUAUCAUUCGCAUUACUAAUAUGAUUGAGCUUAUCUAUUCUCUCAUACAGUUUUACCCCGAUAUUUUUCUGUUUUAUCUUAUGCAGGGGAAUGUAUGAAUAGAAGACAUCUUCCGGGAAAUUUUGUUGACAAUCCCGAACCAUUAUUCAAUAAGACGAGAACCAAGCUCAAGAAGAGAUCAUCAACACUUCAGCAAGAAGCUUCAUCCAAUCAAGAAGAUCACCGGAACUUUUCUUCAGAGUUCGAAGCCAUGGCGAACAAAUCAAUCCGCGAGUUCUCAGCUCCCACUACGGACAACAUCCGCACUGGACCUGCUGCAGAGAUCGAUGGCAAGUUUGAGCUCAAGCCUGGACUUAUCAACAUGGUGCAAUACAACCAGUUCUGUGGGAAGGCACACGAAGAUGCUAGUGCUCAUCUACAACACUUCCUGGAGAUUUGCAACACAUUUACCAUAUCAGGAGUUUCCAAAGAUGCUAUACUACUUCGCCUCUUCCCAUUCUCACUGUUAGGAAGAGCGAAGUAGUGGUUUUACGCUACAAAGGAGAAGAAUACUACGUGGGCACUCUGCUCAACAAACUUCCUGGCAAAAUUCUUUCCCAUGGGCAAGACCAAUGCUCUCCGUGGGAAGAUUACAAGUUUUAAGCAACAAAAUGAUGAAUCUGUUCCAGAAGCAUGGGAGCGCUUCCAAGACUAUAUCCUAGAAUGUCCCCAUUAUGGAAUGGAGAGUUGGCUAUUGAUGCAGACGUUUUAUCAUGGACUCGGCAACAGUGCCCAAGAGACCAUGGAUGCUGCAGCUGGAGGAGCAUUCUUAUCACUUACUAUACCACAAGCCACAACUCUUGUGGAGAAGAUGGCGUCCAAUAAAAGCUGGAAUGAAGAAAGGACCCAGACACGCAAGAGAGGUGGAGGUAUGCAUCAGCUCAAGGAGGUAGACAUGCUCUCUGCAAAGCUAGACCUGCUCAUGAAGAAGCUCGACGAUAGAGCUGGAGACAAGAAAGAAGUUAUGCACAUCUACGACUCUCACAUGACUUGUGAGGAGUGUGGAGAUACUGGACACUCAGGCAAUCACUGCCCUGAGAUGCUUGAGGACGUGAACUACAUCAACAACAACAACUACUACUACAACCGUCAUCAACAAAAUUAAGGUUGGAAUCAACAGAGGCCUAACUACUCAGGUAAUUAUCAAGGUAACAAUUCUUCCAACAAUAAUAAUAAUUUUCCACCUUUAAGAGAGUUAGUGUCUAGUUAAGGAAAGCUAAUGGACAAUCUAUCUAAGAAAUUGGCAUCUAAUGAUAAAAUGCUAGAAAAUAUAAAUAAUAGAAUGGAUAAUUUCUCUACUGCCAUCAAGAAUCAAAUUAGCUUUAAUAAAAUGAUUGAAUCUCAGUUAAAUCAAAUAGCUACUGCUGUUCCUACUACUAACCCCGGUAUACCAUCAGAACCGAAAGGAUUAGAAUCUGCACAUCUUGUAGACAUGUUUGAUGCAGGUAAUUGGAGUAACCCCAUCACUGAAUUCACUACUAACCUUCUGCUGGUCAAGAGAGGAGAUCCAGGACACCCCGUCAUCCCGAUCUCCAUCGGCAUGGUGGACGUUCCAGAAGCACUCUGCGACUUUGGCUCUAGCGUCAACAUUAUACCCAGGGUACUCUAUGAGAAAUUCUUUACAUAUCCUUUACUAGAGACAACCAUGUGUUUGCAGUUUGCAGAUCAGACGAUAACUUUUCCAAAAGGAAUAGUGAAGAACCUUUGCGUCCGAGUUGGUACCUUGUAUGCCCCAGCUGACUUUGUAGUGGUAGAGACUGGAAAUGAUGAGAGGGCACCUAUCAUCCUAGGGAGGCCAUUAUUGAACACCACGUGAGCUAUCAACUACGCUAGUGCUGCCAAGAUCAGUUUCUACAUCAAAGGGAGGAAGGAGACAUUUUUCUUCAAGAACAAGACUACACAAAUUCCAGAUCAAUCCAGACGUGGCUCAAGGAAGAGGACCAACAAGAGGAACAGGAACAAGCAAGUGUGGACCGAGUCAGCUAAGAUGGUCACUUCAGUUCAUGGAGGCCAAGAUCAUCAACUUAAGUCACCGUUUUUGACCAAGAAGGACGACCUAGGAAUGCCAAGCAUCUAUUGCUCCAUAAAUGGAUAGAACUUCUACAAGACAACUUGUGACACCGGAUCGGGCGUUGACAUAAUGGCCACAGUCACCUAUCGGCUCUUGUUCGGAACCAUGCCCUUAAAACCAACAUACAUUCAGCUCCAGAGGGCAGAUCAUACAUUUUGAGAAGUUAAAGGAACAGUAACUGAUGUCCCUGUCAAGAUAGACGAUCAUUUUGUCUACACAAACUUUCAGGUUAUUGACAUGGGAGAAGAUGAAUACGAUCCACCCGUCAUCCUUGGAAGACCGUUCCUCACCACCGUUAAAGCAGUCAUCUACAUUGGAACCGGAGAAGUCCAUAUGCACUUCCCCUCAGAGAAGGUACGCCGUUAUUUUACUGACCCUGACUAUAUCGUUGAAGAAUCUAAGCAGGUAAGAAAGAGAUGCAACUGCAACCAGAGGAGGCAAAUCAUCAAGGACGGAUGGGCAGACUAUGAAGGAGAAGUUGUAAGGUCAGAAGACGUAGAGUUUGAACAGAAUUAUCCAGAGGAGACCAAAGCACCGAGUCAGGUGUGGAGAGAGAAGAUAACUAUACAUGAAGAGGAGGCGCCGCCGGAAGUACCGACUCCGCCACCCAACGAAUCCCAGGACAAUUGAGAAAGAUGGGAGUCCCGUUCGGAGGACUUAAAAACACCGAUCGCCUUGCCAAGACGUAAACUUGGUAGUUAUCCUUUCCCUUUUAAUUAUUUCAAUUAUUUUACUUAGUUAAUCAUAUUCAUACUAUCUUAAAAAUAAAAUAAAAAUAUGAAAAACAGUAAGCCCCAUGUGAGUAUACGAGUGGCAUAAAACCCAUAAGUACAUUCACUGUGGUGGCAUAAAAAUAAAAUAAAUAUUUCUUUUCUGCUCUAUAAAAUGAAAAUAUAAAAAUAGGGAGUAAUAAUUGUUAAGGAGUCUCAACAUGAUAAAGGCUAGAUAUUUAUGCUAACACUUAAUCAGUUCCACAAGCUUUGUUGUCUAUUUGAGCUCCACAGAAUUUAAGAAUAAAGAAGACUAGCAGACGGAGGACAUUCUAAUCGCUGUCAGAAUGCUGCUGACUUUCAAAUACACCUCUACCACCUGCUAGCUACAUCAAGAGAAAUUACGUCAAAAUUCAGCUUGGGGAGAGCACCCCCAUUUAUCCCGAUAAGUAUUUCUAUCUAUCUUUAUACUUAUACUAUAUUAAAAUAUAGAUAUACAUAACUAUGAAAAACCGAAUAAAGAUUUUAUGCUUAUAUAUAUAUAUCUUUUGCUUAGUGUGUUUAAUAAAUAAAUAAAGUGGCUAUGCUAAUCUGUAUCUAAAUAAAACUCUAGCAUGGAUAUGAUGAAUAGUUGCUCUGCCUAAUUUGCACAUUUGAAGUUCUCUCUCAAGUUUAGACAUAACUGAUAUAAUUUAAAGGUUGCUCUAGACCUAAACUUGUGGGAUGAAAACUUGAUCUGAAGUCAAAGUUGUUAACGGAUACGAUAUGGGAAGGUUGAGCUGCUGUUUAUCUGUUCCUAGAGAUGCUAGAAUUCUAGAGAAUUUUAUCUUUGAAAAUCUUUAAAAUAUUGCAUGAUGAGUUCCUGUAUGAUGAGAGUUUUAAAAUUCCUACCACAGUCAUAUAUACAUUCUUGCUAGACUUUGAGCCACACAUUUACUAUUUACUGCUUAUGAGCAUUGAGUGUGGUCAAGCUAUGUAGACCCUUAGGAGCUUGUCAUGUGGUUAAAUCAAGAUUCACUUGCACGUUCGCUCAUAUAUGCUACUUCUACUCCGAAAGUACCAUCCACAUAUAUCCAUCCAUUUCCAUCUCCAGAAUCACCCAAAAAUAUUCUACUCCUAAUCCGGGAGAGAAUAGCCAAAAACAUUUCUGUUUUCCCUUGUGAAAUAAAUGCUCAAGUUAUCUUGUUACUACCACUUGCUAUAUUAUCUCAAGAGAUGAGUGCUCUAAAAAAAGAAAGAAAUACAAGGAAAUAAAAAGGGGCAAGUGCCCGGAACCUCGAAAGAAAAGAAAAAGUGAGACGAGAUGUAAAAAUGGACAAGUGUCCGAUAGUAGAAUUAGAGGUACAAGAUACCCACCUGAGACAAAAGAAAAAAAUAAGAGCAUCUCAUUCUCCUCAUAAAGUUUCAAAAAGCAUGGAAGGUAUGUAUCCCCUCAAAGAGCAAAAGUAGAAUUAGACUUCCACCAUUGUUAUCACCAUCAUCACCAUACACCAUUCAUUCACCACACAUGCACAUCUUGAUUUGACUUAUUGAUUUGUUUCUUUGGAUCCAUGGUUUGACUAUACAAUACAUGUCUUGUAAGUAUGUAUAUUUUAUCUCCUACCUAUGAGCUCCAGAUAUUAAAGCCUUAUUAGAGUAGGGUGAGAGAGAAGGCAAUGUCACUAUGCUUUAUACCACAAAUACCACAUAUUUUGAGAGAAGGCAUAUACCAUCACUGGCUUGGUAAGGAUCCAGAAAUACCACAUAAGAGAGAUAUGAGAGAGUCAUACAAAGGAAUCUCUGAGUUUUAUUUGAAAAUCUGCAAAAACUCCAGAGCUAUAGCUGAUCAAGAAUAAGAGACAUGGCACUUGACUGGACUGUUCUAUCUUUUAACCAUUCAAGACAGGAGUGACGGUUACAAGUCCCAUGAUGAAAGGUAAAGUAAGUAAGUUUUAAGUCUUGACAGUUUACUUUAACUCAAAGAUGAGACCUCAUUUGAAAGCAUGUGUACCGUCAAUUUUUAAAGAUAUUGCAACAACUUAUGAUCCAUAGCUGAGUCUAUCCUUGCUCAGGGACAAGCAAGAGGUAAGCUUGGGGGAGUUUGUUGACGGUCCUUAAGUAUCAAAUUUAAUUAUCAAAUAAACAAAGAAAAGGAUCCAAAUGAAAUCAACAUCUAGACUCAGGGUUUUAUCUGACUGAAUUCCACGAGUUUUGGUGUUUGUCUAUUUUUGCAGGGGGUUAUCAGAGAAUACGGAAGAAAGGGCCACACGUCGCGAUUACAUAGAGAUAUUAACGUGCCGCGCAAUUAUCUUACAUCUAGAAGACUCCAGAAGCCACGAGACCGAAGCGGAGGCGAAACGGGGCCUGAGGCAGGGCGCCCGGCCCCUCUAAGAGUCCAACCAGGACUCUGCUUCGUGGGAGAUCUCCACCAACCUAAAGGAUCAAGGAUAACCGUUCAAUCUAAGUCGGUUUGAUCCAACGGCCCAUAUUCACUUGAAGGGACUAUAAAACCAGACCCCCUGACCCCUAGAGGAGAGAGCCUCUCAACCCUAAUUCAUUAUUCUUCAAGGGAGAAGAAGCCUCUGAUCAAGAUUAGAGCCACCACAUCAAUUAGAUAUCUAGAUUAGCAUAGCUACAUAGGAUUAGAACUAGAAGGAGUCAAUCUUCGAUUGGUUUCCGGAUCUGUCAAGAGGAUUUUUGGUAAUUCUCUAAUUGUGCUUCUAAUUGUUCUUCUAAUUAACUUUGUUCUUCAAUAUUAUGAAUAUGACUUUGUUCUACUUCAAUAUAUUGCUUAUGACUUUGCUCUACUUGCUUAUAUUCAAGAUUAUAUUGUUCUUAGUUUAUCAUGUUUAUAUACUUGGCUUAGUUAGAUUGGAUCUAUAUACAUGCUUAGGAUCGUAUAGCGUUUAUCCAUCGGAUCCAUGGGUAAAUGAUAGAUAUUGUGUAGGCGUGGUGCUUAUACCGUAUUUAUCUGCGAUUGUACCUAAUAUUCCAGAUCGUGGGGUAGUUUGUGAUAGUGACAGCUUCAUUGAUUCUUAUAUAGUCCCCGUCUCGUGUAUUGGGCUGGCAGAGCAAUAUUAUUACAGGGGAGUGAUUGCUAUGUUUCUCAUUUACCUUGCUAAUAUCACUAUGCAUGGGCGUAGUCUUGUCUCACAAUGAUUGUUAAGUAUGCUUGCACUAACUAUGAUAAUGCUAAACUAUAUAGUUGAGAAUAACUUAGGGAAUAUUCUUGUAGUUCGUUCUAAUACCAUGCUAAUGACUUUCUAAAGUAUCUACUUGAGGUGCUUAUCAUAUUUAUAUGUGGCUGAUCAGAUUAAUUAUCUUUGUCACUAUUCAUUAUUUCAUAUAUCUUUUAUGUGACAUUUAUCCCUGUAUGAAGAGUUAGAUAAAUGUUCUCAAUUAUACAUGCAAUGAUAGAUACUCAAUCUCAUAUUCUAUUCUAUAAUCAAUAUUGAUGAUUGUUAAUCCCUUCCCAGUGGUAAAAAUAUAAAUAACGAUACCUGGAAUACUUCCCGGUUAAAAUGCUAGAUCGGUAUUAAUCUGUGCGCUUACAGAUCCCAUUCAUUAUUUAUUUAGAAGAGCAAUUGCAUAUUUCAAUACCGUGUCUCUCAUGUCAUGCUGGAGAUGACAACUUGGCUUAAGUGGUGUGAGGGAUAGGUUUGGCAUUUUUGGCACCGUUACUAGAUUUAGAGAACUUAGUCUACUUUUGGUAAUGAUGUUAAGAAUACCCAACAGGCACCUCUCAACUCUAUGAUGAGCUUUUCUCCUCCAGGGGACAGAGGGUGUAAUACCCGAUUUUAAGGACAAAACCAGAUAUGCACCAUAUGUGAGUUUUAAAAGCCAAAUCUCAAAUAUAGCUACAAAUAAGGGGUAAUAUCAAAAGACAAUGCAUAAACAUAUAACAUACUUAGUAUAAAAGAGAUAACCUUUAUUAACAAACAGCGGAUAGAAAACUCCAAACUUCGGGUAUUAACUUCUCUCCACAGGAUCCAACUGACUAGUUGAUCACAAGCCUAAACUUCUCCUGAGGUUUGAGGGAAAUAGCAAGAGUGAGUCCAUGUCGAACUCCACAAAUAUAGCAACUAGAUUGUAUAUAUCCCACAAUCUCAUGAUCAAUGUGACAUAAAUAAUGUAAAGCAUUAAACAAUAAACGAUGAGCAUAUUUAACACACAAGAAUCAUCACCCUUAAUGUAGAUGUCCCCAAGGCCGCUCCUGACCGUGAGCUCGGCUAGUAUACUAGUUUUUAACCCUCUGCAGAGGUUGCACAUCUUUACCCAUAAGUCAUGAUUUACCCUUUCGCCCGAGGUAGCUAAUCUCUUAACCCCCUUCCUUGGGAGGUCGGUAGGGAUCACUAUGAAGUCUUUCAAAGGUUCGUCUAACAAGUUAGGGCCGCUUGGUUUCAUUAGUCAGUCCAUGUGAUUCACCCGCAGGAAUCCACGGUCUGCUAUUCCCCAAUUGCGCCACAGGGGUAACCGCUAACGAGCUAGAAAAGUUACUCAUACUUAACUAAAGCCAGAGCCAUUAUAGCCCUCAUGGUUGCACUAUUGUCCCGGGUGAUCACGUAUAGACAAAUCAUCAAGGUGCUCAAAAGUCAUUUUUAUCAUUUAUUGCUUAACAUUAAUCUAGCCACAAGAUCAUGGUCACAGAAAUAAAAUCCAAAUGCUAUACUUGCCUUGAUCCGAAUGAUCUUGCUGAUCCUACUGAUCUUUCUAGUUGUCCAAGGCUCUGAUCUUGCUUGUUGUAGCACUCUUGAUCACCAUAGAUUAUGCACCGUCUAAUCACGAUCAUCGAUCACCAACACAAACAUCAUAGACAACAUACACGAAGCAAACAAGGCUACAAUUAGAACAGUACACCAAUCAUAUAAAAAUAGUAUGAAAAGUUUAUAAAAUGAUUCUACGAAUCGCUAUGAUUUCAUAUACGUAAAGAUCGCAAAAAUCGGAGCUAAAUCGGAGAAGUUAUGAAUUUUCUAAGAUUUUAUGUAGAAAAGAAAUUAAUUAAUUAGGGUCACAAAAUUAAAAAGUUUCAAACUGAGUAAAUAAUAUUACUAAUAUGUAGAGCUUAUUAAUACGAAUCCAACGCAAUUUGGAUGGGUCAAAACGAGAUUAAAAUGAAUAUUUUAUGGCCAAAAGAAAACCAGUGGCAAACUUGUAAAUACUAGAAAGCGUAUUUUCUUUUAAGCCGAUAAGAAUACGUUUUCCGAAUUGAAAAGCGUAAACCAAAUAAUACGCCAAGGGACGGCGGGUACUAAUCUAAAGUUUUUCGGGGUCUCUUUAGCAAAUGUUACCCCGAAAGGGUAUCUUCUAAUCUAGGGCGUCGAUCUAGGAUCCUACGGCUCAAAUUCAACCAGUGGGUGGGCACAUGGCCGGCGACGAGCUUCACACGGCCGGGUGCCAUUGCCGGCCUCUCGAGCUCGCCGGAGUUCGCCUAAUCCGCGUUUUGGUGCACCACUCACAAAACCGAGAGUAUGGGGAGCUAGAGGAGGUUAACGCGAGCUCACCUAGGGCGGAAUCGCAGGCGAAAAGGGGCUUGGAGAGGGCCGACCACGCGGAACGGCAGACGAUGGCUCCCUGCACCGGUUCGGCGUCGACGUGAGAACAAAAGAACGGGAUAGAGCGUUAGGGGAUGAUCUUGAAGGCUUCGUUACCCCGAUGCGAAGCUCGGCAAGGGCUCGAAAGCGACGGCACGACCGGGGAUAGGGCGCUCCACGACGACGGCUUCCAACUCUUUCUCGGCGAGAUCCAGAACCCAAGAACACACGAAGCUACAGCACUAAAUAAGCUGCGUAGAUGAAAAAGGAAGGAGCAGGGAAGGAGCUAGGGCUUUAAAGGGGUUCGAUUUGGUCAUGGUUAACGGAGAAUCCCGGGAAAUCGGGUUCGGCCUGCCUCCAGCCAAGUUCGUCUCGCUCACGCCUCCGGGAAGAAGAUGGGAGGGGGGUUGAGACACUGCCGUGUGGGGGCCGGGUGUCAGUGGGUGCAGUUGUGGGUCCCGGCCGUCAGCCAGAGAGAGAGGGGGAUGUGCUGGGCUGCGGCUUCUGGCCCGAGAGAAGGAGAGUGGGCCGAGGGGGGGAAAGGGAGCGGCCUUCGGCCGAGAGGGAGGGUUUUCCCCUUUCUUUUUUUUUCAUUUCUAUUUUAUAUUUUCCAAAGCUCUUUCAAAAUAGUUUUGAGUUCUUUUAAUUCUCAAAUAAAACACACAGCACAAAAACAAUUAUUCUCCAGCAUGAAUGCUCAUUCAAGUUUGCUAAACUUAUGAUAAAUUUUAAUGAAAAAAAAUUAUUACCCUAUGUUUCAUGAGCACAAAAAUACAGAAUUAAAUCAUUUCCACCUAUUUCAAAAUUUGUAAAUUUUUGGGUGUUACAAAUCUACCCCCCUUAAAAUGAAUCUCGUCCUCGAGAUUCGAAAGAGACACAGAUUCCAAAAGAGAAACAGGAAAAAGAUCUUGAUCAUUAUUUCAACUUGACAACUUGUAUUCCAAAUGCAAGCACUUAUGUUUCGGGAUUACAACUUGUGAACAAAACUUCCAUAAGAUGUCUAUUAUUCGUAAUUGCUCACUGUCCAUCUUGACUACCAACUUUUCAAAUUAUACAACUCAAAGACAUGAUACCUCGGCAUGGAUAUGCCUCCUCAGGUAGGAGUGGACCACCUUGAUGCUCAAUUCUUUUCCCUGAUGGUGCAGUUAAGACAAUUUUCCACUGGGUAGCAUAGUUCACUACCUUGUGUGCACAUAACCAUCCAUUGCCAAGAACCAAAGGAAUGUUGAGUGACUCUAGCACAAUGAGGUUUACAGUGAAGUUUUCCUUCUUUAUGACAAGAUUGAUAUUUGAGCAAACCUGAUCUGCCCUUAUUUCUCCCAUUGGGGUUUGAACUAACAAAGGCUUUCUCAUCGAACACUUCACCCGUUCGAUUGUCUUUAACAAGUUGGCGGAAAUAAAAGAAUGCAAAGCACUUCGGUCAAACAGAGCAAAAACUAGCACUAAGUCCACUUGAAUAUAGCCUCCCACCACUUUGGUGGCUCCUUGAAUGUUAUGCAUAUCCACAUUGUUCAGUCUUCCAUUGAUGUAAUUUCGCUGUACUUUAUUUCCGAGAGCAGGCUUCUUACGAGCUUUCCUUUUACGCUUCCGUCGUUGUGGAUUUUGAUUUGAUUCAUUGUCAACUUGCUCUUCCAUAUUAUUAUUUUGAUAACACUUAGCUUUGUCAUACUCAUAGCAUCUUUCUUCAAAGGCAAGAUGAUCAUAAUCUUCCCACCUAUCCAUGAGAGGCGUCAUAUUAUGCUCCGAAUCCAUGGGACACUACACUCCCUGUCAUCAAGUGACCAACGUCAGUAACAUGGCAACGGUAGAUGAUCAUAAUCAGAGGAUAUCUUAGAAGACAAUUAUCACUCCAAUCUAGUCUUAAAAUGCAUCACCCGUGAUAUCAAGGUACUACCCCCCUUAAAAUUAGAUUGAUUGGGGGACACUAGGGAAUAGUUCUCCUAUCCUUUUUGGACGCCACAUAUCAUAGUCUUUUACAUUCGUGGUACCGAGUCUCUUGAUCCAUCCAACAUUAUCCAAUUCUUCUCCAUGUAACCCCCUUUAUUUGGGCUACCGCCCUUAUGAAAGGUCAACUAGGGGACACAAGAAGGGUAGCUAGCAUAUUUUCCAGACAAGUUAACUAACAUUGCAAACUUAUGACAUUCCAAAGAACUUAUGUGCAAGAGAAUAAACCUGUAUCCUGAAAUUUUUCCUCGCGAUAUGAAAAACACCAGAAUAGAAAAACAGGUAUAACUCUCAUUCUGUUAAUCCGAUAGAGUUAUAGCUUAUAUCGUUAGAAAACUUAUGAAAUUCCCUACAACUUUCAUGUACAAGUCCUCCUUAGGUUCUGUCUUUAAGCAUAGGUAAAAUAACCAAACAUAAUAUCCUUCCUGAUAAUGUCUCAGCAAAGGUGCAGUAAAUUCCAGAAAUUAUAUCUCGAGCUACUUAACUCAUCUGGAGAUGAUCCUUACAUUUUUGAAAAGCUUAGGAAAUCCUCUACAACUUUCGUAUACCAUGUUUUCCCAGAUUCUGUCUUUAACUUGUCCGAAAAUAGGGAAUACCAAAACUGUCCAGACUUUGAUACAGAACAGAAACAUCCAAUUGUAAAUAUCAUAUCUCAUGUUCUACUUAGCCAAAUAAGUUGCAGCUUAUACCGUUGGAAAUCUUAGCAAGUCGUCUAUAACUUUUCUAUAGAACACUUUUCCAAUUCUGUAGUUAUAUUUGUCUCAAACAGCAAGUUCUCGAAACUGGUCCAGAUUCUGGACAGCACAUCUGUAUCAUCUUGUGAUUUUUGUAACAUCCAAACCAUAACAGCUAUGAGGGUGAUUCUUGCGGUCAGGGAAAGAUCUUGAAGUCUAUUUGUUCCCAGAAAAAUUUGGUAAACUUUGCGCGAUCAGAUCUUGAGAUGUACCAGAUUCAUUGCAGACUGCUCUAGAAAACAGCAAAGGACAAAAACAGGAUAUAACCAAACCCAACUACUUAUGUCAUUACUCCUUAUGCCUUACUUCUAUAAACCAAAUGAAAUUGUGAAGAAACUCACAAAAUCAUUACACUCAUUACAAAGAUCCAAAUCAAGCAUAAACAUAAUAACAAACCAAUUAAGCAUCGAAGGUUCACACUUCACUCAACUUGCGAUACUAUCGUUUUCUUCGUAGUAAGGGUAGAGAUCCUAAAAUUCUCUUUCAACUACGUAAGCAGGUGGUAAGAGAAGAUUCUAAAAGCUUAUCAAAUCAAGAAGUGAAGAUGAGAACAAAGACUUUUAAAAUAAGCAACAAGAUAGAGACAAAUAGCAUGGAUAGAGAUAUAGUAUGGAAGAAAAUACCAAGGUUUUUAGAGCAAGGAUUUUAUGACAAUUAAAAACCUUAAGACGACUAAUUUGUAACUAGGCUUGCGUCCUACAGUCAGCAUUGCUUUGAUACCACUUUGUAAUACCCGAUUUUAAGGACAAAACCAGAUAUGCACCAUAUGUGAGUUUUAAAACCCAAAUCUCACAUAUAGCUACAAAUAAGGGGUAAUAUCAAAAGACAAUGCAUAAACAUAUAACGUACUUAGUAUAAAAGAGAUAACCUUUAUUAACAAACAGCAGAUAGAAAACUCCAAACUUCGGGUAUUAACUUCUCUCCACAGGAUCCAACUGACAGGUUGAUCACAAGCCUAAACUUCUCCUGAGGUUUGUGGGAAAUAGCAAGAGUGAGUCCAUGUCGAACUCCACAAGUAUAGCAACUAGAUUGUAUAUAUCCCACAAUCUCAUGAUCAAUUUGACAUAAAUAAUGUAAAGCAUUAAACAAUAAACGAUGAGCAUAUUUAACACAUAAGAAUCAUCACCCUUAAUGUAGAUGUCCCCAAGGCCGCUCCUGACCGUGAGCUCGGCUAGUAUACUAGUUUUUAACCCUCUGCAGAGGUUGCACAUCUUUACCCAUGAGUCAUGAUUUACCCUUCCGCCCGAGGUAGCUAAUCUCUUAACCCCCUUCCUAGGGAGGUCGGCAGGGAUCACUAUGAAGUCUUUCAAAGGUUCGUCUAACAAGUUAGGGCCGCUUGGUUUCAUUAGUCAGUCCAUGUGAUUCACCCGCAGGAAUCCACGGUCUGCUAUUCCCCAAUUGCGCCACAGGGGUAACCGCUAACGAGCUAUAAAAGUUACUCAUACUUAACUAAAGCCAGGGCCAUUGUAGCCCUCAUGGUUGCACUGUUGUCCCGGGUGAUCACGUACAGACAAAUCAUCAAGUUGCUAAAAAGUCAUUUUUAUCAUUUAUUACUUAACAUUAAUCUAGCCACAGGAUCAUGGUCAUAGAAAUAAAAUCCAAAUGCUAUACUUGCCUUGAUCCAAAUGAUCUUGCUGAUCCUGCUGAUCUUUCUAGUUGUCCAAGGCUCUGAUCUUGCUUAUUGUAGCACUCUUGAUCACCACAGAUUAUGCACCGUCUAAUCACGAUCAUCGAUCACCAACACAAACAUCAUAGACAACAUACACGAAGCAAACAAGGCUACAAUUAGAACAGUACACCAAUCAUAUAAAAACAGUAUGAAAAGUUUAUAAAAUGAUUCUACGAAUCGCUACGAUUUCAUAUACGUAAAGAUCGCGAAAAUCGGAGCUAAAACGGAGAAGUUAUGAAUUUUCUACGAUUUUAUGUAGAAAAGAAAUUAAUUAAUUAGGGUCACAAAAUUAAAAAGUUUCAAACUGAGUAAAUAAUAUUACUAAUAUGCAGAGCUCAUUAAUAUGAAUCCAACGCAAUUUGGAUGGGUCAAAACGGGAUUAAAAUGAAUAUUUUAUGGCCAAAAGAAAACCAGUGGCAAACUUGUAAAUACUAGAAAGCGUAUUUUCUUUUAAGCCGAUAAGAAUACGUUUUCCGAAUUGAAAAGCGUAAACCAGAUAAUACGCCAAGGGACGGCGGGUUCUAAUCUAAAGUUUUUCGGGGUCUCUUUAGCAAAUGUUACCCCGAAAGGGUAUCUUCUAAUCUAGGGCAUCGAUCUAGGAUCCUACGGCUCAGAUUCAACCAGUGGGUGGGCACAUGGCCGGCGACGAGCUUCACACGGCUGGGCGCCAUUGCCGGCCUCUCGAGCUCGCUGGAGUUCGCCUAAUCCGUGUUUUGGUGCACCACUCACAAAACCGAGAGUAUGGGGAGCUAGAGGAGGUUAACGCGAGCUCACCUAGGGCGGAAUCGCAGGCGAAAAGGGGCUUGGAGAGUGCCGACCACGCGGAACGGCGGACGAUGGCUCCCUGCACCGGUUCGCCGUCGAUGUGAGAACAAAAGAACGGGGUAGAGCGUUAGGGGAUGAUCUUGAAGGCUUCGUUACCCCGAUGCGAAGCUCGGCAAGGGCUCGAAAGCGACGGCACGACCGGGGAUAGGGCGCUCCACGACGACGGCUUCCAACUCUUUCUCGGCGAGAUCCAGAACCCAAGAACACACGAAGCUACAGCCCUAAAUAAGCUACGUAGAUGAAAAAGGAAGGAGCAGGGAAGGAGCUAGGGCUUUAAAGGGGUUCGAUUUGGGCAGGGUUAACAGAGAAUCCCGGGAAAUCGGGUUCGGCCUGCCUCCAGCCGAGUUCGUCUCGCUCACGCCUCCGGGAAGAAGAUGGGAGGGGGGUGAGACACUGCCGUGUGGGGGCCGGGUGUCAGUGGGUGCAGUUGCGGGUCCCGGCCGUCAGCCAGAGAGAGAGGGGGAUGUGCUGGGCUGCGGCUUCUGGCCCGAGAGAAGGAGAGUGGGCCGAGGGGGGGAAAGAGAGCGGCCUUCGGCCGAGAGGGAGGGUUUUCCCCUUUCUUUUUUUUCAUUUCUAUUUUAUAUUUUCCAAAGCUCUUUGAAAAUAGUUUUGAGUUCUUUUAAUUCUCAAAUAAAACACACAGCACAAAAACAAUUGUUCUCCAGCAUGAAUGCUCUUUCAAGUUUGCUAAACUUAUGAUAAAUUUUAAUGAAAAAAUAUUAUUACCCUAUGUUUCAUGAGCACAAAAAUACAGAAUUAAAUCAUUUCCACCUAUUUCAAAAUUUGUAAAUUUUUGGGUGUUACAGAGGGUCUGCUUAUAUAGUCCCCUCAGGUGAACGUGGGCCGUCGGAUCAAACCGACAUUGAUUGAACGGUUAUCCUUGAUCCUUUAGGUCGGUGGAGCAUGAUCCGCGAAGUUGGCUCUCAUUGGUGGAGACACCAGGGCGGGCGCCCUGCCCCGGGCCCGAUCGCCUUCCCGUUCGUUCUCGUGGCUUCUAGAGUCUUCUAGAUGGUAGAAAAUUGCACGGUGCGCUAAUAUCUCUAUGUACUCCCGACAUGUGGGCCUUUCUUCCUUAUUUCCUGAUAACCCCCUGCAGAAACAGAUAAACAACAAAACUUGUGGAAUUCUAUCAAAUCAAACCCUAAUUCUAGGUGUUGUUUGUAUAUUUGUCCUUUUCCUUGUUUAUUUGAUAAUUAAAAUUAAUACUUGAGAACCGUCAACAGCGAUCCCCAACUACACCUACCUCAAGCUGAAGAUGCCAGGUCCCAAGGGGGUCAUCACCGUCAGCUCCUCCUACGAGCAUGCCUAUGAAUGCGACAUCGAGUGCGUCGAAUUUGGGGAAGCGGUCAAGAGCAGCACUGAGCUUGCCUCGAGGCCGAGGCGCUCACCGCCUAGGAACUAGAGCCAAAGCGUGACACGGGUAGCUUCGAGCCGGCAGAAGGUACGAAGAAGGUCCCGCUCGACCCCGACAACUUUGACGGCAAGGCGCUAACGAUCAGCACCGACCUUGACCCCAAAUAGGAAGCCAUGCUCGUCGACUUUCUCCGCAUGAAUGCUGACAUGUUUGCGUGGAGUCCCUCGGAUAUGCCAGGCAUACCGUGGGAAGUCGCCGAGCACUCCUUGGAAUCUUAGACGGUUCCAAACUAGUGAAGCAACGACUGUGCCGCUUCGACGAGGAGAAGCGCAAGAUCAUUGGUGAGGACGUUCACAAGCUAUUGAAGGCCGGAUUCAUCAAGGAGGUUCAUCAUCCCGAGUGGUUAGCCAAUCCUGUAUUAGUUAAGAAAAAGAAUGGAAAAACGAGGAUGUGUGUAGAUUAUACCAGUUUAAAUAAAGCGUGUCAAAAAGUUCCAUUUCCCUUACCACACAUUUACCAAAUUGUAGUUUCCACCGCAACAUGUGAAACCCUUUUUUCCUUGAUGCUUAUUCAGGAUACCAUCAGAUAAAGAUGGAGUCUGACCAGCUCACGACUUCUUCCAUCACCCCUUUCGGUAUGUAUUGUUAUGUGACUAUGCCCUUUGGGCUUCAAAAUGCUAUUGCGACAUAUCAAUGAUGCAUGAUCCAUGUUUUCGGAGAACUCACAGGGUCGACGGUCGAGGCAUAUGUCGAUAAUAUCGUCGUCAAAUCAAAAAGCUGGGUGACCUGAUUCAAGACUGUUGACGGUCCAUAAGUAUCAAAUAUAAUCAACAAAUAAACAAAGAAAAGGAUCCAAAUGCAACCGACAUCCAGACUUAGGGUUUUAUCUGACAGAAUUCCACGAGUUUUGGUGUUUGUCUAUUUCUGUAGGGGGUUAUCAGGAAAUAUGGAGGAAAGGCCCACACGUCGGGUUUACAUAGAGAUAUUAACGUGCCGUGCAAUUAUCUAACAUCUAGAAGAGUCCAGAAGCCACGAGAACGAACGGCAGACCGGAUGGGCUCGGGGGCAGGGCACCCGCCCUCCCCCCUUGGGCGCCCGCCUUGGCCUCAGGGCCAAUCAGCUUCAACUUCGCGGAUCAUGCUCCACCGACCUAAAGGAUCAAGGAAAACCGUGCGAUUAAUGUCGGUUUGAUCCGACGGCCCACAUUCACUUGGAAGGACUAUAUAAGCAGACCCGUUGGCCCCAGUAGGAGAGGCCUCAGACCCCUAAUUCAUUAUUCAUCUUAGGAGAAGAAGCCUCUAAUCAAGCCCUAGAGCCACCACAUCAAUUAGAUCUCUAGAUUAGCAUAACUACAUAGGAUUAGAAAUAGAAGGAGUCAAUCUUCGAUUGGUUUCCGGGUCUGUCAAGAGGAUUCAUGCUAAUUCUCUAUUGUUCUUCAAUUGUUCAUCUUUGUUCUUCAAUAUUAUGAAUAUGACUUUGCUCUACUUCAAGAUAUUGAUUAUGACUUUGCUCUACUUGUUUAUAUUCACAAUUAUAUUGUUCUUAGUUUAUCGUAGUUAUAUACUUGGCUUAGUUAGUUUGGAAUUAUAUACAUAUUUAGGACCGUAUAGCAUUUAUCCAUAUGUACAGUGGGUAAAUGAUAAGUAUUGUGUAGGCGUGGUGCCUAUACCGUAUUUAUCUACGAUUGUACCCUAUAUGCAGAUCGCGGGGUAGUUCGUGGUAAUGACAGCUCCAUUGAUUCUUAUAUAGUCCCCUCUCGUGUAUAGGGCUGGCAGAACAACAUUAUUACAGAGGAGUGAUUGCGAUGUUUCUCAUAUUCCUUGAUAAUAUCACUAUGCAUGGGCGUAGUCCUGUCUCGCAAUGAUUGCCAAGUGUAAUUGCACUAACUAUGAUACGCUAUACUGUUUAGUUAAGAAUAACUUAGAAAAUAUUCUUGUAGUUCGUCCUAAUUCCAUGCUAAUGACUUGCUAGAGUAUCUAAUUGAGGUGCUCAUCAUAUUUAUUAUGUGGCUACGUUAUGCUGAUCAGAUUAAUUAUCUUUGUCACCAUUCAUAUUUUAUCUUUAUCCUAUGUGACACUUAUCCCUGUAUGAAAGAGAUAGAUAGAUGCUCUCAAUUAUACAUGCAAUGAUAGAUAUCAAUCCUAUAUUCCAUUCUAUAAUCAACAUUGAUGUUUAGCAAUCCCUUCUCAGUGGUAAAAAUAUAAAUAACGAUACCUGGAAUACUUCCCGGUUAAAACGCAACAUCGGUAUUAAUCUGUGCGCUUGCAGAUCUCAUUUAUUAUUUAUUUAGAAGAGCAAUUGCAUAUUUCAAUACCGGGUCUUUUAUGUCAUGCUGGGGAUGACAACUUGGCUUAAGUGGCAUGAGGGAUAAGUUGGCAUUUUUGGCGCCGUUAUCAGAAUUAGAAAACUAAGUCUACUUUUGGUAGUGACGUUAAGAAUGCCAACAAGCAUUUUUGGUGUCGUUGCCGGGGAAGGUUGAUUACUAAUCAGGAAUGAAUAUGGAAUUUUGAGUCAUCAUUCGCAUCACUAAUAUGAUUGAGCUUAUCAAUUCUCUCAUACAGUUUUACCCCGAUAUUUUUCUAUUUUAUCUUAUGUAGUGUAAUGUAUGAAUAGAAGACAUCUUCCAGGAAAUUUUGUUGACAAUCCCGAAGCAUUAUUCAGAAAAACAAGAGCCAAGCUCAAGAAGAGAUCAUCAACACCUCAGCACGAAGCUUCAUCCAAUCACGAAGAUCACCGAAGUUUCACCCGAAACAUGUCUUCAGAAUUCGAAGUCAUGGCGAACAAAUCGAUCCGCGAGUUCUCAGCUCCCACUACGGACAACAUCCGUAUUAGACCUACUGUAGAGAUCGAUGGCAACUUUGAGCUCAAGCCUGGACAUAUCAACAUGGUGCAAUCCAACCAGUUCUGUGGAAAGACACACGAAGAUGCUAGUGCUCAUCUCCAACACUUUCUGGAGAUUUGCAGCACAUUCACCAUAUCAGGAGUCCCCAGAGAUGCUAUACUACUUCGCCUCUUCCCAUUCUCACUGUUAGGGAGAGCAAAGCAUUGGUUCUAUGCUACAAAGGAGAAGAAUACUACGUGGGCACUCUGCUCCACGAACUUUCUGGCUAAGUUCUUUUCCAUGGGCAAGACCAAUGCUCUCCAUGGGAAAAUUACAAGUUUUCAGCAACAACAUGAUGAAUCCGUUCCAGAAGCAUAGGAGCGCUUCCAAGACAACAUCCUAGAAUGUCCCCAUCAUGGAAUGGAGAGCUGGCUACUGAUGCAGACGUUUUAUCAUGGGCUCGGCAAUAGUGCCCGAGAAACCAUGGAUGCUGUAGCUGGAGGAGCAUUCUUAUCCCUCACCAUAUCACAAGCCACAGCUCUUGUGGAGAAGAUGCGUCCAACCAAGGCUGGAAUGAAGAAAGGACCCAGACAUGCAAGAGAGGUGGAGGUAUGCAUUAGCUCAAGGAGGUAGACGUGCUGUCUGCUAAGCUAGACCUGCUCAUGAAGAAGCUUGAUUAUAGACCUAGAGAUAAGAAGGAAGUUAUUCACUUCUACGACUCUUACAUGACUUGUGAAGAGUGUGGAGGUACUGGACACUCAGGCAAUCACUGCCUUGAGAUGCUUGAGGAUGUGAACUACAUCAACAACAACAACAACAUCUACUACAACCGUCCUCAACAAAAUCAAGGUUGGUAAUUAUCAAGGUAACAAUUCUUACAACAAUAAUAAAAAUUUUCCACCUCUGAGACAGUUAGUGUCUAAAUAAGGAAAGCUAAUAGAUAACUUAUCUAAGAAAUUGGCAUCUAAUGAUAAAAUGCUAGAAAAUAUAAAUAAUACAAUGGAUAAUUUCUCUACUGCCAUCAAGAAUCAAAUUAGCUUUAAUAAAAUGAUUGAAUCCCAGUUAAAUCAAAUAGCUGCUGCUGUUCCUGCUACUAACCCCAGUAUACCAUCACAACCGGAAGGAUUAGAAUCUUCAAAUCUUGUAGACAUGUUUGAUACAGGUAACUACUGGAGUAACCCCGUCGCGGAAGCUACUGCUGACCUUCUGCCAGUCAAGAGAGGCGAUCCAGGAUGCCCCAUCAUCCCGAUCUCCAUCGGCAUGGUGGACUUUCUAGAAGCACUUUGUGACUUUGGCUCUAGUGUCAACAUUAUGCCCAGGGUACUCUAUGAAAAAUUCUUUACAUAUCCUUUAUUAGAAACAACCAUGUGUUUGCAGUUUGCAUAUUAGGCAUUAAGUUUCCCAAAGGGAAUAUUGACGAACCUCUGUGUCCGAGUUGGUACCUUGUAUGCCCCAGUAGACUUCGUGGUGAUAGAGACAGGUAAUGAUGAGAGGGCACCCGUCAUCUUAGGGAGGCCAUUCCUAAACACCUCGGGAGCUGUCAUCUACGCUAGUGCUACCAUGAUCAAUUUCUACAUCAAAGAAAGGAGACGUUUUCCUUCAAGAACAAGACUACACAAAUCCCAGAGCAAUCCAGACAAGAACCAAGGAAGAGGACCAACAAGAGGAACAGGAACAAGCAAGUGUGGAUCAAGUCAGCUAAGAUGGUCACUACAGUUCAUGGAGGUCAAGAUCAUCGACUUAAGUCACCGUUUCUGACAAAGAAAGACGACCCAGGUAUGCCAAGCAUCUAUUGCUCCAUGAAUGGAUACAACUUCUACAAGACAUUUUGCGACACCGGAUCGGGCGUCAACAUAAUGGCCGUAGUCACCUAUCAGCUCCUGUUCAAAACCAUGCCCCUAAAACCGACAUACAUUUAGCUCUAGAUGGCAGAUCAGACAUUUCAAAAGGUUGAAGGUAUAGCAACUGAUGUCCCUGUCAAAAUAGAUGAUCAUUUUGUCCAUACAGACUUUCAGGUUAUUGACAUGGAAGAAGAUGAGUACGAUGCACCCAUCAUCUUUGGGAGACCAUUCCUCGGCACCGUCAAAGAAAUCAUUUACAUUGGAACUGGAGAAGUCCACAUGCACUUCCCUUCUGAGAAGGUGCGUCGUUAUUUUACUAACCCUAACUAUAUAGUUGAAGACUCUAAGCAGGUCAGGACAAGAAGAAGACGACGCAACUGCAACCAGAAGAGGCAAAUCAUCAAGGAUGGAUGGGCAGACUAUGAAGGAGAAGUGGUAAGGUCUGAAGACAUACAGCUUGAACAGAAUUAUCCUGAGGAGACCAUAGCACCGAGUCAGGUGUGGAGAGAGAAGAUAACUAUACACGAAGAAGAGGCGCCACCGGAAGCACCGACUACGCCAUCCAACAAAUCCCAUGACGACUGAGAAAACGGAGAGUCCCGUUCGGAGGACAUAAAAACACCGAACGCCUUGCCAAGAGGUAAACUUGGUAGAUGUCCUUUUCCCUUUUUACUUAUUUAAAAUAGUUUACUUAGUUAAUCAGGUUCAUACUAUCUUAAAAAGAAAAUAAAAAUGUUAAAACCAGUAAGCCCCAUGUGAGUAUACGAGUGGCAUAAAACCCAUAAGUACAUUCACUGUGGUGGCAUAAAAAUAAAAUAAAUAAUUUUUUCUGCUUUAUAAAAUGAAAUUAUAAAAAUUAGAGAGUAACAUUUAUUGAGGAAGCUCAACAUGAUAAAGGCUAGAUAUUUAUGCUAACACCUAAACAGUUCCACAAAGCUUUGUUGUCUAUUUGAGCUCCACAGAAUUCAAGGGUCAAGAAGACUAGUAGACGGAGGACAUUCUAAUCGCUGUCACGGUGCUGCCGACUUUCAAAUACACCUCUGCCACCUGCUAGCUACAUCAGAAAAAAUUACAUCAAAAUCCAGCUUGGGGGAGAGCACCCCCAUUUAUCCCGCUAAGUAUUUCUAUCUACAUUUACACUUAUACUAUUUUAAAAUAAAAAUAUACAUAACCAUAAAAAACCAAAUAAAGAUUUCGUAUAUAUAUAUAUCUUUUGCUUAGUGUGCUUAAUAAAUAAUUAAAGUGGCUAUGCAAAACUGAAUCUUAAUAAUAAAACUCUAGCAUGGAUAUGAUGAAUAGUUGCUCUGUCUAAUUUUCAAAUUUGAGUUCUCUCUCUAGCCUAGACAUAACUGUUAUAAUUUAAAGCUUGCCCUAAACCUGAACUUAUAGGAACAGAACUUGAUCUAAAGUUUAAGUUGUUGACAGAUAUGAUAUGGGAAGGUUGAGCUGCUGUUUAUCUAUUUCUAGAGAUGCUAGAAAUCUGGAGAAUUUUAUCUUUAAAAAAUCUUUAAAAUAUCACAUGAUGAGUUUCUGUAUGAUGAGAGUUUAAAUUCCUACUACAGCCAUAUAUACAUGCCUGCUAAGACUUUGAGCCACACAUUUACUUUUUACUGCUUAUGAGCAUUGAGUCUGGUCAAGCUAUGUAGACCCUUAGGAGCUUGUCAUGUGGUUAAAUCAAGAUUCACUUGCACAUUCACUCACACAAGCUGUUUCUACCCCAGAAGUACGCAUCCACAUAUAUCCACCCAUUUCCAUCUCUAGAACCACCCAAAAAAUAUUCUACUCCUAAUCCGGGAGAGAAUAGCCAAAAACAUUCUCCUAUUUCUAUUUUUCCCUGUGAAAUAAAUGCUCGAAUUAUCUUGGUUACUACCACUUGCUAUAUUAUUUCAGGAGAUGAGUGCUCUAAAAAAAAGAGAAAAGAUACGAGGAAAUAAAAAGGGGCAAGUGCCCGGAACCUCGAAAGAAAAGAAGAAGUGAGACGAGAGGUAAAAAUGGACAAGUGUCCGACAGUAGAAUUAGGGGUACAAGAUACCCACCUGAGAGAAAAGAAAAGAAAAAUAUAUAUAGAGCAUCUCAUUCUCCUCAAAAAGUUUCAAAAGAGCAUGGAAGGUAUAUAUCCCCUCAAAAGAGCACAAGUAGAAUUAGACUUUCACCAUUGUUAUCACCAUCAUCACCAUACACCAUUCAUUCACCACACAUGCACAUCUUGAUUUGACUUAUUGACUUGUUUCUCUGCAUCCAUUGUUUGACUAUGCAAUAAAUGUCUUGUAAGUAUGUAUACUUUAUCUCCCACCUAUGAGCUCCAGAUAUCAAAACCUUAUUAGAGUAGGGUGAGAGAGAAGGCAAUGUCACUAUGCCUUAUACCACAAAUACUACAUACUUUGAGAGAAGGCAUAUACCAUCACUGCCUUGGUAAGGAUCCAGAAAUACCACAAAAGAGAGAUCUGUGAGGGUCAUACAAGGAAUCUCUGAGUUUUAUUUGAAAAUCUGCAAAAACUCCAGAGCUAUAACUGAUCAAGAAUAAGAGACAUGGCACUUGAUUAGACCGUUCUAUCUUUUAACUACUCAAGAUAGAAGUGACGGUUACAUGUCCCGUGGUGAAAGGUAAAAUAAGUAAGUUUUAAGUAUUGACAGUUUACUCUAACUCAGAGAUGAUACCUCAUUUGAAAGCAUGUGUACCAUCAAUUAUUAAAGGCAUUACAGCAACUUCUGAUCCAUCACUGAGAUUAUCCUUGCUCAGGGACGAGCAAGAGGUAAGGUUGGGGGAGUUUGUUGAUGGUUCUUAAGUGUCAAAUAUAAUCAAUAAAUAAACAAAGAAAAGGAUCCAAAUGCAACUAACAUCCAGACUUCUGACAGAAUUCCACAAGUUUUGGUGUUUGUCUAUUUUUGCAGGGGGUUAUCAGGAAAUAUGGAGGAAAGGCCCACACGUCGGGUUUACAUAGAGAUAUUAACGUGCCGCGUAAUUAUCUAACAUCUAGAAGAGUCCAGAAGUCACGGGAAUGAACGGAGACCAGACGGGCUCGGGGGCAGGGCGCCCGCCCUAACCUCGGGGCCAAUCAGCUUCAACUUCACGGAUCAUUCUCCACCGACCUAAAGGAUCAAGGAAAACCAUGCGAUUAAUGUCGAUUUGAUCCGAAGGCCCACAUUCACUUGGAAGGACUAUAUAAGCAGACCCCUGGCCUCUGGAGGAGAGGACCUCAGACCCCUAAUUCAUUAUUCAUCUUGGGAGAAGAAGCCUCUGAUCAAGCCCUAGAGCCACCACAUCAAUUAGAUCUCUAGAUUAGCAUAGCUACACAGGAUUAGAACUAGAAGGAGUCAAUCUUCGUUUGGUUUCCGAAUCUGUCAAGAGGAUUCUUGGUAAUUCUCUAUUGUUCUUCAAUUGUUCAUCUUUGUUCUUCAAUAUUAUGAAUAUGACUUUGCUCUACUUCAAGGUAUUGAUUAUGACUUUGCUCUACUUGUUUAUAUUCGUAGUUAUAUUGUUCUUAGUUUAUCAUAGUUAUAUACUUGGCUUAGUUAGAUUGGAAUUAUAUACAUGUUUAGGAUUUUAUAGCAUUUAUCCAUGUGUACAGUGGGUAAAUGAUAAGUAUUGUGUAGGCGUGGUGCCUAUACCGUAUUUAUCUGCGAUUGUACUCUAUAUGCCAGAUCGCGGGGUAGUUCGUGGUAGUGAUAGCUCCAUUGAUUCUUAUAUAGUCCCCCUCUCGUGUAUAGGGCUGGCAGAGUAACAUUAUUACAGGAGAGUGAUUGCGAUGUUUCUCAUAUUCCUUGAUAAUAUCACUAUGCAUGGGCAUAGUCCUGUCUCGCAAUGAUUGCCAACUGUAAUUGCACUAACUAUGAUACGCUAGACUGUAUAGUUAAGAAUAACUUAGGAAAUAUUCUUGUAGUUCGUCCUAAUUCCAUGCCAAUGACUUGCUAGAAUAUCUAAUUGAGGUGCUUAUCAUAUUUAUUAUGUGGCUAAGUUAUGCUGAUCAGAUUAAUUAUCUUUGUGACCAUUCAUAUUUUAUCUAUAUCUUAUGUGACACUUAUCCCUGUAUGAAAGAGAUAGAUAUAUGCUCUCAAUUAUAUAUGCAAUGAUAGAUACUCAAUCCUAUAUUCCAUUCUAUAAUCAACAUUGAUGUUUAGCAAUCCCUUCCCAGUGGUAAAAAUAUAAAUAACGAUACCUCGAAUACUUCCCGGUUAAAAUGCUACAUCGGUAUUAAUAUGUGCGCUUGCAGAUCUGAUUUAUUAUUUAUUUAGAAGAGCAAUUGCAUAUUUCAAUACCGCGUCUUUUAUGUCAUGCUGGGGAUGACAACUUGGCUUAAGUGGCAUGAUGGAUAGGUUUGGCAUUUUUGGCGCCGUUAUCAGAAUUAGAAAACUAAGUCUACUUUUGGUAGUGACGUUAAGAAUGCCCAACAAAGACCUCGAGAUCACAUUUGGCUGCCUACACACCAACAACAUCAAGCUCAACCCCAAAAAGUGUGUCUUCGGUGUGCCCCGAGGUAUGCUUCUAGGAUACAUGGUCUCCUAGUGCGGCAUCGAGGCCAACACCGAGAAAGUCUCGGCCAUCCCCAAGACGGGGCCGAUUCGAGAUGUCAAAGGCGUACAAAAGGUGAUGGGUUGUCUGGCGGUGAUCAGUCGUUUCAUCUCGUGACUAGGCGAAAAGCGCUGCUGCUAUACCGACUCCUGAAAAAAGCCGAGCGCUUCACAUGGACCACCGAGGCUGAGGAUGCCAUCGACAAGCUCAAGAGGAUGUUGACCACCGCUCCAAUCCUGGUGCCCCCUCGACCCGUAGAAUCUCUGUUCCUCUAUGUUGCGGCAACGACCCAGGUCAUCAACGCAGCCUUAGUAAUUGAAAGGCCUGAAGAAGGACAUGCGCUUCCAGACCAGCGGCCGGUCUACUUUAUCAGCGAGGUGCUCUCGGACACAAAGGUACUAUACUGCCAGAUUCAGAAACUGAUCUAUGUGGUAAUUCACGCUCGAUGAAAGCUGCAGCACUACUUUCUCGGCCACCCGAUCACGGUGGUCUCGUCCUUCCCGCUGGGCGAGAUCAUCUAGAACCGAGAGGCCACUGGGAGGAUUGCCAAAUGGUCAGUCGAACUUAUGGGAGAGGCCCUCGCAUAUGCGCAUCGCAAAGCCAUCAAGUCUCAAGCACUGGCGGAUUUCAUAGCAAAAUGGACCGACACCCAGCUUCCCCAACACAGGUCUAGGCGGAGCUUUAGACGAUGUACUUCGAUGAAUCACUCAUGAAGAUGGGGGCUAGGGCUGGCUUGUUGUUCAUCUCACCUAUUGGCGUCCAUAUGAGGUAUGUGAUUCGAAUACAUUUUGCGGCAUCUAACAAUGUCGCAGAGUACGAGGCCCUCGUCAAUGGGUUAAGGAUCGCAAUUGAGCUUGGGGUCCGACGCCUCGACAUCCGAGGUGAUUCUUAGCUCGUCAUCGACCAAGUCCUGAAAGCUUCAAGCUGUCACUGUUGAUGGUCCUUAAGUACCAAAUAUAGUCAUCAAAUAAAUAAAGAAAAGGAUCCAAAUGCAACCAACACCCAGACUUAGGGUUUUAACUGACAGAAUUCCACGAGUUUUGGUGUUUGUCUAUUUCUGUAGGGGGUUAUCAGGAAAUAAGGAUGAAAGGCCCACAUGUCGUGAUUACAUAGAGAUAUCAACGCACCGCGCAAUUUUCUACCAUCUAGAAGACUCCAGAAGCCACGGGAAGAAAGCAGAGGCCGAAAGGGGCCAGGCCCAGGGCGCCCGCCCUCUUUCCCUGGGCGCCUGCCUUGUCCUGGACUCCGUUCGGGACUCUUUUCGCACACGAUGUUCCACCGACUUAAAGGAUCAAGGAUAAUGUAGUACCACAUUGCCUACCGACCCAAAAACGCAUAGAGGAGGAGGACUAUAUAAGGAGACCCCCCUGGCCCCUGGAGGAGACAAUAAGUUAUCAUUGAGAUCGAGGGGUGCCCUCGAAGGAAAACCUCUUCUCUAAAUAAUAUUUCUUUUUAGGCUUAGCAACCAAUGUAAGUAGAAAUAGAUCUUCUAGUUUCUACUAGAUUGAGAGAGAUAGAGUGGAGGUGUAGAUCGGAGGAAGGCCGGCCUGUCGGUGCCUACUCCGAGUUGUACCUGCGGGAUCAAGUCUCCUAACCCGAGGCCUGCUUCUAAGAUUCUUCAGUAAUUCGACUUCUAAUUCUAGUAAGUUCUUGCUUUAUUGUUCUUUGGUUUAUGAGUUUACUUUAAUCCUCUUCCGGUUGAGUAUUAGAGUAAUCAUUGCUAGUGUAAACAUGGUGUUUAGGCUAGGGUACUCAUAGAUAUCCCCUGACUAGCUGGACUGUGGUAGUAGCGAGGAACGUGACAUUUCCGAGUUACCUUUGUAUCCCAUAUCCGACUUAGGGUUUUAGAAGAAUCUCUACGACAUCGGAUCUAACGACAACAUAAUGGCCGCAGUCACUUAUCAGCUCCUGCAUGGAACCAUGCCCCUACAACCAAGAUAUAUUCAGCUCCAGAUGAUUUUCAGGUCAUUGACAUGGGAAAAGAUGAGUAUGAUCCACCCACCAUCCUCGGAAGACCGUUCCUGAACACUAUCAAAGUUAUCAUCUAUAUUGGAACUGGAGAAGUCCACGUGUACUUCUCCUCUGAGAAGGUACGCCGCUAUUUUGCUGACCUUAACUAUAUAGUUGAAGACUCUAAGCAGGUCAAGACAAGAAGAAGAUAACGCAACCGCAACCAGAGGAGGCAAAUCAUCAUAGACGAAUGGGCAAACUACGAAGGAGAAGUGGUAAGGUCUGAAGACAUACAACUUGAACAGAACUGUCCUGAGGAGACCGUAGCACCGAGUCAGAUGUGGAGAGAGAAGAUAGUUAUACACGAAGAGGAGGCACCGCCGGAACCACCGACUACGCCAUCCAACGAAUCCCAGGAUGACUGAGAAAACACAAGGAGUCUCGUUCGGAGGACUUAAAAACACCGAACGUCUUGCCAAGAGGUAAACUUGGUAGUUAUCUUUUUCCCUUCAAUUAUUCAAUUAUAGUUUGCUUAGUUAAUCAGGUUCAUGUUAUCUUGAAAAGAAAAUAAAAAUGUUAAAAAAUAGUAAGCCCCAUGUGAGUAUGCUCAUGGCAUACAACCCAUAAGUACAUUCACUGUGGUGGCAUAAAAAUAAAAUAAAUAAGUUUUCAUCUUACAAUAAAAAUAUAAAAAUAAUAAGUGCAUGAUCCUGCUAAAUAAGUAAUGUUUAUUGAGGAGGCUCAACAUGAUAAAGGCUAGAUAUUUAUGCUAACACUUAACCAGUUCCACAAAGCUUUGUUGUAUAUUUGAGCUCCACAGAAUUCAAGGAUCAAAGAAGACUAGCAGACGGAGGACAUCCUAAUCGCUGUCAGGGUGCUGCCGACAUUCAAAUACACCUCCACCACCUGCUAGCUACAUCAGAAGAAAUUACGUCAAAAUCCAGCUUGGGGGAGAGCACCCCCAUUUAUCCAGCUAAGUGUUUCUACUUGCGUCUAUACUUUACUCAAAAUAAUAAAAAGAUGCAUAAUCAUAAAAACCCAAAUAAAGAUUUUGUGCUUUUAUAUAUAUCUUUGCUUAGUUUGCUAAAUAAAUAAAUUUUUCUAUGAACCCUCAUGAUAAGCUCUCACAUGGAAAUGAUGAAUAGUUGCUCUGCCAUGACUAGUUCUUAAAAUUGAAAUCUCUCUCAAGUUUAGGCAUAACUGUUAUAAUUUAAACCUGCUCUAAACCUGAACUUGUGGGAAGAGUAGUUGAUCUAAAGUCUAAGUUGUUAACGGAUAUGAUAUGGGAAGGUUGAGCUGCUAUUUAUGUGUUCCUAGAGAUGCUAGAAUUCUGGAGAAUUUUAUCUUUGAAAAUCUUUAAAAUAACACAUGAUGAGUUCCUGUAUGAUGAGAGUUUAAAUUCCUACCACAGCCAUAUAUACAUGCUUGCUAGACUUUAAGCCACACAUUUACUUUUACUGCUUAUGAGCAUUGAGUGUGGUCAAGCUGCGUAGACCCUUAGGAGCUUGUCAUGUGGUUAAAAUCAAGAUUCACUUCCACGUUCACUCACACAUGCUGCUUCUACUCCGGAAGUACGCAUCCACAUACAUCCACUCAUUUCCAUCUCCAGAUUCACCCAAAAGUAUUCUAUUCCUAAUCCGAGAGAGAAUAGCCAAAAAUAUUUUCCUAUCCUUGUUAUUCCCUGUAAAAUAAAUGCUCAAGUUAUCUUGGUUACUACCACUUGCUAUAUUAUUUCAGGAGAUGAGUGCUCUAAAAAACAAAAAAAAGAGAAAAAAAAACAAGGAAAUAAAAAGGGGCAAGUGCCCGGAACCUCGAAAGAAAAGAAAAAGUGAGACGAGAGGUAAAAAUGGACAAGUGUCUGACAGUAGAAUUAGGGGUACAAGAUACCCACCUAAGAGGAAAAAAAAGAAAAUAUAGAGCAUCUCAUUCUCCCCAAAAAACUUCAAAGUGCAAGAAAGGUAUGUAUCACCUUAAAAGAGCAAAAAGUAGAAUUAGACUUUCACCAUUAUUAUCACCAUCAUCACCAUACACCAUUCAUUCGCCACACAUGCACAUCUUGAUUUGACUUAUUGACUUGUUUCUCUGGAUCCAUGGUUUGACUAUGCAAUAAAUGUCUUGUAAGUAUGUAUUAGCUGUCUCCCACCUAUGAGCUCCAGAUAUCAAAACCUUAUUAGAGUAGGGUGAGAGAGAAGGCAAUAUCACUAUGCAUUAUACCAAAAAUACCACAUACUUUGAGAGAAGGCAUAUACCAUUACUGCCUUGGUAUGGAUCCAGAAAUACCACAAAAGCGAGAGAAUCAUACAAGGAAUCUCUGAGUUUUAUUUGAAAAUCUGCAAAAACUUCAGAGCUAUAGCUGAUCAAGAAUAAGAGACAUGGCGCUUGACUUGAUCGUUGUAUCUUUUAACUGCUCAAGACACAAGUGACGGUUACAAGCCCCAUGGUGAAAGGUAAAAUGAGUAAGUUUUAAGUCUUAAUAGUUUAUUCUAACUCAGAGAUGAGAUCUUGCUUGAAUGCGUGUGUACUUUUAAGGCAUGAAACCACUGCAGAAACUCUUGAGUUCAUCCUUGCUCAGGGACGAGCAAGAGGUAAGCUUGGGGGAGUUGUUGAUGGUCCUUAAGUACCAAAUAUAAUCAUCAAAUAAAUAAAGAAAAGGAUCCAAAUGCAACCAACACCCAGACUUAUGGUUUUAACUGAUAGAAUUCCACGAGUUUUGGUGUUUGUCUAUUUCUGCAGGGGGUUAUCAGGAAAUAAGGAUGAAAGGCCCACAUGUCGGGAUUACAUAGAGAUAUCAACACAGCGUGCAAUUUUCUACCAUCUAAAAGACUCUAGAAGCCACGGGAAGAAAGCAGAGGCCGAAAGGGGCCAGGCCCAGGGCUCCCGCCCUGUCCUGGACUCCGUUCGGGACUCUUUUCACAGACGAUGUUCCACCGACUUAAAGGAUAAAGGAUAAUGUAGUACCACAUCGCCUACCAACCCAAAAACACAUAGAGGAGGAGGACUAUAUAAGGAGACCCCCCUGGCCCCUGGAGGAGACAAGAAGUUAUCAUUGAGAUCGAGGGGUGCCCUCGAAGGAAAACCUCUUCUCUAAAUAAUAGUUCUUUUUAGGCUUAGCAACCAAUGUAAGUAGAAAUAGAUCUUCUAGUUUCUACUAGAUUGAGAGAGAUAGAGUGGAGGUGUAGAUCGGAGGAAGGCCGGCCUGUCGGUGUCUACUCCGAGUUGUACCUGCGGGAUCAAGUCUCCUAACCCGAGGCUUGCUUCUAAGAUUCUUCAGUAAUUCGACUUCUAAUUCUAGUAAGUUCUUGCUUUAUUGUUCUUUGGUUUAUGAGUUUACUUUAAUCCUCUUCCGGUUGAGUAUUAGAGUAAUCAUUGCUAGCGUAAACGUGGUGUUUAGGCUAGGGUACUCAUAGAUAUCCCCUGACUAGCUGGACUGUGGUAGUAGCGAGGAACGUGACAUUUCCGAGUUACCUUUGUACCCCAUAUCUUGUUAGCAGGACGGGUAGGUUUAUAGGUGCGGGUCGAACAUCCUUUGUGGUGUCUAGAUUCCAUAAGCUUCCCCAAUAGAACAGUAGAUCAUCCUUAUCAAAGUUAGAACAAGACUACGGUUGCAUUUUCUCUAUACAUCGCUCACAUCGAGAAACAUUCUUUGUAGCCUAAAGGGGUAGUAGCAAUAGAUUUGGUUAGUCAGAUGCACCCUUUCUCCUAGUGGUAAAAAUAUAAAUACGAUAACUCUGGAUAACCUCCCGGGUGAAAUGCUCACCGAUAUCUGUGCGCUUGCGGAUCAAUUCCUUAUUGCGUUCCCAAAUAUCAACAGUCACGACCCAAAAAUGGAGGCCUAAUGCAAAGAAGUACGCAAGCUAGAGGACAAGUUCCAUGGCCUCGAGCACAACCACAUUGCCCGACGGUACGAUGAACCAGCUGACGAGCUUGCCAAUAUUGCAUCCACUCGAGGCAGUGUCGUACCAAACACAUUCUCGAGGGAUUUGCUCGAGCCAUCAGUCAAUCUCAACGCGGGGGCUGGCGUCGACGCACCGACACCAGAGCCCGUCGACACGGCCGAGGCUCUCCUAGCCACGGUAGAGGUGAUGGAGGUCAAGCAGUCCUCUCGAGAUCAAAGCUAGCCAUUCGAUUGGCGUACGCCUUUCCAUGAUUUCCUGUUCGAGGCGAGCUACCAGAAGAUUGGGCUGAGGCACGCCAUAUCGCUCGACGGGCCAAAUCAUAUGUGAUCUACGGUGAAGACAAAGAGCUGUACCGACGAAGCCCAGUGGGGAUCCUGUAGUGCUGCAUCACAGUAGAAGAGGGACGCAAGCUCCUCAAGGAUCUACACUCGGGGGCUUGUGGCCAACACGCGGCACCUAGAACCCUCAUUGGCAACGCCUUUUGAUAGGGCUUCUACUGGCCAACGACCGUCACCGACGCCAUCGAGCUUGUACGUUCAUGCCAUGGAUGUUAGUUUUAUGCCAAACAGACCCACCUCCCGGCUCACACCCUACAGAUCAUUCCCAUCACAUGGCCAUUCGUAGUAUGGGGCCUCGACCUCAUGGGUCCUCUCAAAAAGACGACGGAAGGAUACACCCAUCUGCUAGUGGCCAUCGAGGAUGUACUCAGCUAUAUUUACCCGUCUAACCACACAUAAAGACACCAAGGAUCAUGCAAGGCUGAGUAUAAAGUGGAGCUUGCUGGACUCAUAUUUUGCAAAAGAGCUUAAGUUGGAUGGUAAACCAUUUUUAUUAGGACCAUUUUGAUUAUCAUUAGCCUAUUACUAGAUUAGCAACUAGACUAAGCACUUCACUUGAUUAUUUAAUAAACAAUAAUAACCAUAUCAAAUUUCAACAUAUGUUCUUUCUUGCUAUCCUCAUCAUCAGCAUUAAAGAACCAUUAAGUACUUAGUGAAUGCUACGUUUGCCGGAGCUCUGUCAAGUUCUCACUAUCCGGGAGAGACGGUGAUUCGAAUCGAUUCCUAACCAGCUGGAGGGUUAUUCCUAGCACUCACCCAUGCAUCCCCGUCGGAGAGCAAGCGGGUCACCUUUGAUAUGACUCAGGAAUUGCAGCUUCGAUCAGCGCUGCACUCCUAGGGCUGCCACUCUGCCAAGAAGAUCAAGUCUUUUAAAUCACCUGCCCUUGGUCUUACGCCAAUGGCUCCCCGCACACCGCACUUCCUCUGGUAGUGCGCACUAUAUACUUGCCGGUCUUCCGGCCUGAGUCAUACUACUAGGCUUCACGGUCGGAACGAGUUAUCUAGCCAACUAAGUGUCAGGCAUGCGUUUAACAUGACAAGAUGACGUACAAUGAUUGGUCCUUAGCUGCUACAGAUGUAGUUACUACCACCUUGCAACACUCCGUCUGGCUUAAAUCAUUUUAACCAGGUUCCUUUCCACGAUAGUAAAUAUAGCCAACCGUGAUCCAACGAUAGACCCUAUUUCGCGCAGGUUAUAGGAUAUCACCCGACUUCCACCGAUUAUAGCAUGGCUAAGCUACUACUCGAUCUUGGCUCUAUACCAGGGUAAAGUGGGAUAUCUUGACAAGGAAAGGUAUAAUGCAGCAAGGGUUCCACAAUAACUCCUAUACGUAAUGCACCAAUAAACAUAACAUAUUCAAGCAUGCUUUGAAAUUAAAGUGGGAGACUUAAGAUGCUCCGGGGCUUGCCUUUCACGAACGAUGCUGGCUCGUGACUAGGGCUCCUCGGCUCCUGCUGGCUGGAGCUCGUCUCCUGAGUGACCUCCGGGCCUUCUGGAUUCACCCUCUCGAGCUCGAAGGAAGUUGCGGUCUCCGGUGUACAUAUUUCCUGUACGCAAUGAGUGAGGAAUGUAUGCAUACGAGGAAAUGGUGAAUGCUUGACGUGAUCAUGGUCACAACACUUCAGUAGACACUUAUUUACUGAGUAAACUUCUUUACAAGCUUACACAAGAGUCCCACCACAACUAACAAAGAUGUACUAACGUACACAAAUAAACAGCAACUACAAGCAGCAAAACUGUCCACAGAACAAUUCAUAACUGGAGAUAUAUAAAUCCAAUGGACAUGAGUUAAGACAUUCUGGAAAGCUUAUAAAAUUGUUCACAUUUCAUCUUUAGACACCUCAGCAAGAUUCACAAGUUAGACAAGCCAAUUAAACAAAGUUACAGGUUCUGUCCCAGAAAAACAAAGAGCAUCUAGUUCUGGAACUUCACUUAGAAAAGCUAUAACUUUUAAACUACUGGGCCAAUUAACACCAAUUUUUAAUUACAGUUAGAACACAAGAUUUACAACAACUUUGGUAUAGGCAAGUCUUCCAGAAAACGAAGCUAACACCAAACAAUAAUCAGGUUAAUUCUUUGCUGUCCAGACAGCUAUAUAUCCUUUAAUUAAUUAUUUGCCAACAUAGCAAAAGUAUAUUGGUUGUCAACCAAGUGACUCAUAAGAACAAACAUGAUAUAUGAUUACCAGAAAACCAUAUAUUAACUACCAAAUCCUUAAUUAUGAGGCCUUUAUUAAUUUAAUUCCAUAAAAGAGCACAAUUAAGAGAUACCAGAAAGAUUACUCAGAAAAAUCUACAAAAAUGACAGGAGCAAAAGCAAGGCACCUAGACCUCACUACAAAAGUUUUAGAGCAAUUGCACAUGCCAAACUUAAGAUAUCUAAUUAACAUGUGACAAGGCAUUUAUUACAUAAAUUAAGAAACAUAGGCUAAACAGUGUCAAACAACAUAUUUCUGAUUAUUUAUAUGAUACUACUACCAUAACCACACUUGACACCAAAGAACAGCACCAGCAUAAGCAUACAACAUUUACUAUGAUUUAAACAAGGAUUUAAGCAAUAACACCAACAUAAUUUACAUAUCAGAGAUACAUUACUUUAAAAAUCAUGAAAUAUUUACCAGAGCAUACUAGCACCACACAAAGCAUAGCAUAAAAAUUUCAUAGCAAUUUAAGCAGUACACCAAGAGAUACAAAUUUACUGGGAAAUAACAAGAUUAAUCCAUAACAAUUAUUCUUCACAGAAAACAUGGCACAUUUUUUAUUUUUAUUAAAAACUAGCCAUGUCAAGGAAUGCCACAAAAUUUGUUUCACAAUUUUUGGAGCUCAGAAACAGGAGAUAUGGUUUUUACAAGAUUGCACAGAAUCUGGAAUUUGAAUAAAAGAGAGGAAGGAAACGUUGAGUCACUGACAGCGGGACCCAUGCGUCAGUGUUGUCAUCGUCGCUCAAGGAAAGCUUCCACCAGCGAUUUCUCGCCCACGGUGAGGUUUCUAGCCAAACCAAAGACACCGGAGUGUUCCCUAGACCAAGGCGCGUCGAAUGGACCUACUUAACUCCCUGCGGAGCCACCAGAGUGGACUCGCCGUCGAUCAUGGGUGCUUGGCCAAGGUGCCCGAUGCUACGUCGGCGCCGGUAGCACGUGAAUUGAGGAUCCCUACAGCCACGGUGAGUUACGGUGGAACUUCCUAGGUGGAGAGCUCGGCCGUAGAGGGCCCAGGCGAGCCUGGCCACGUGCGGGUGAUGCUCUGGCUAAAGAACGGCGGAGCUGCUGGCGAACUUUGGUGGACAGCGAUGCAGCAUGGAGCGUGCUCGAGCUCGCUGGAGUGAGCUCGACAAUGGUGACUCCACUGCCACCGCGUUUUUUGCGAUAGAGAGGAGGAAUUGUGGGAAUAAGCGUGUCCAGGAGCUCGAGGUCGUCGCCGUGGAGGUCAUGCACGACCUCAGUGCUGAUGAGCGGGGCCAAGAGCGGCGUAUGGGCGCCAAAUGGCGAACAGGUGCUGCCGCCGAUCGGCCACGUCGGCGACUGAAGAUUUCCAUCAGAGCUCGAUUUAGUGACUGACAGAGCGACUUUGACAACGAUUAACUCCCAAACCGUGGCGAAUUAGGAGAUGGUGUAGUUGAAAAAUUUAGAGUACUAGCUGAGUUCAACAACUUUGUCAACUGGAGCAAGAGAUAAAUCAGCCUGGAUGAAAAGAUACAGAGCUUCCAAAAUCCUUCAAGCAAACUGCGCACGCUAGAAAGACUUAGAAAAAAUUCCAAGUGUUGAAACGGCCCCCAAAUCUGCCUUGUGAGCCAUGUUUGAGCAAGUUGUGAUCAUUUUCAUGAGAUGGCCAUAAAACAGCUUUUGUUCCUUAUAAAAUUUGCUACAACUUUGAUAUAGAAAGUUUUGACAUGUAAACAAUCUAUGAAGCACAUUUUAAAAGCCUAAGCAAAAGAGGUUUAUAAGCCCCCACGUGAAACUAUGACUUAGGAGCAUAAUUAGAGGAUAUGAUCAACAUGAACAUUGCUCCUAAGGAUUAGUUAAGCAAAGUUAAACACUUAACAAGCUCUAGAAUACAUACAAGAGCAUGACAUACUCAAACACAAGCAUAGGAAGCACAAAUAAACAAUUUAAGCAACAUAUACACAUAAAAUGACAUGUCCCAAGACAUGUGAUGAUCAUGGUAUGCUUAUGUAGAUGAUUAUGCUCAUGUCAUGCAUGUGCAUGAGAGGAUGCAACCAUAACACUAGGGUGUUAUAGCCCUCCCCCCUUACAAAAAUCUUGUCCCGAGAUUUGAAAGCUUACUAAUUUUUGAAGAAGGUUUUAUAAACUUCCUUUAAAAAGUCCUCUGUUUCCCAAGUAACAUCUUCCGCCCUGUGGUUACUCCACCAAACCUUGUAGAACUUAACCACAUGAUUACGAGUUACCCGUUCCUUAUGGUCAAUGACCACCACAGGCUUCUCUUUAUACACCAAGUCCGAUUCCAACAUGAUAUCCCGCACCUCCACUCUUUCUUCCGGAACCCGAAGGCAUUUCUUUAACUAAGAUAUGUGAAAGACAGGAAGAAUAGCUCGUAGCUCCACUAGAAGUUGAACCUUGUAGGCUACUUUCCCUUUCCUCUCAAGGAUCCGAUAAGGUCCCACAUAACAGGGUGCAAGCUUUCGCUUGAUUUCGAACCUUUGUACACCCUUCAUCGGAGACACCCUGAGAUAUACGUGAUCCCCGACUGCGAAGUCAAUCGGUUUUCUUCUCCAAUCGGCAUAACGCAUUUGACGAGCUUGAGCAGCUUCCAGAUGUUGCUGGAUUGUAUGGACUUGCUGCUCAGCUUCGUUCACAAAAUUGAUGUCGUAAUACCUUCGUUCCCCAGGUUCCACCCAAUUCAGCAGAGUUCGACACUUUCGGCCAUAUAGGGCUUCAAAAGGAGUCAUCUUAAUCCUCUCUUGGUAACUAUUGUUGUAAGAGAUCUCAGCUAACAGUAACCACUUCACCCAAGAUCCUUUUGAAGAUAAAGCACAUGCCCUCAACAUAUCUUCUAGGAUUUGGUUAACACGUUUAGUUUGGCCAGCAGUUUGUGGAUGAUAAGUAGAACAUCAAAUGAAUUGAGUACCAAUUUGCUCGUGAAGACACUCCCAGAAACAAGUAGUGAACUGCAGCCCAUGAAAUGAUAUGAUAGUGCGAGGAACACCAUACUGACGGACAAUGUGCUCAAAGUACAACUCCGCAUACUGAUGCGGACGAUACUCAGUUCGUAUUGGAAUAAAACGAGCGACCUUGGUCAAAUGAUCACAAUCACCUAGAUAGAGUCGUAACCCUUGAUAGAAGUUGGGAAUCCUAAGAUAAAGUCCAUACUUACUUCUACCCAUUUCCAACUAGGGAUUGGCAAGGGUUGAAGUAAACCUGCUUUCAUGUGAACUGCCUUCACACGACAACAUUUAUCGUAACGAGCAACAAAAGCAGCAAUCUCCUCUUUCAUCUUUGUCCACCAGAACAGAGGUUUAAGAUCAUGAUACAUCUUACUACUACCAGGAUGAACAGAUAGCUUGGACGAAUGAGCUUCAGAUCUAAUUUUGAAGCUCACGAUUCUUUGGUGCAACAAGCCAAUCUUUGAACCAUAGAAUUCCGUUCUCAUCGACCUAGAAAUGCUUGGUUUCUUCUUCUUUCAUCUUCCCCUUUAUAUGGUGCAUGCCUACAUCAGUUUGUUGCAACUCAAUUACUCGAUUAUGAAGAGAGCUUUCUAAGGCAAUUUGAUGAAGCACUAGUGGAUGCAUAAGACAUGACAAGGGCAAAUCUUCAAUCUAAACUGAAUUACAGUGCGAUUUCUAGCUCAAGGCAUCCACAACCAUGUUUCCUUUGCCCGAAUGGUAGUGCACUUGAAGAUUAUAAUCUUUAAUCAACUCAAGCCACCUUCGCUGUGGAAUGUUCAAUUCAGGUUGGGUGAAGAUGUACUUGAGACUCUUAUGAUCGGUGUAAAUAUUGCACCGAUUUCCCAGCAAAUAGUGCCUCCAGAUUUACAAAGCAUAGGCAACUACGGCCAAUUCUAAACCAUGUGUAGGGCAAUUGACCUCAUGUUUUUGAAGUUGGCAUGAAGCAUAAGCGAUAAUGCAACCUUCUUGCAUAAGCACACAGCCCAGACCAAUAUCAGAUGCAUCACAAAAGACAUCAAAAGGCUUCUCAAUAUUGGGUUGAGCCAAUACAGGAGCUGAUGUUAGCAAGGUCCUCAGCUUGUGGAAUGCUUCCUCACAUUCUGGCGUCCACACGAAUUUCUCAUCUUUCUGAAGUAAGCGAGUCAUAGGCUUGGAUAUUUUUGAGAACUUCAGAAUGAAACGAUGAUAAUAUCCAGCUAAACCCAAAAAACUCCAAACUUCGUGCACUGAAGUUGGGACCUUCCAAUCCAGCACUUCUUGCACUUUGGCUGGAUCAACUGAUAUCCCUUCUUUAGACAAGACAUGGCCCAAAAAAGGUACUUUCUUUAGCUAGAACUCGCAUUUGCUAAACUUAGCAUAAAGCUGAUGCUCACACAAACGAGUUAACACUACACGCAGGUGCUUGUUGACGGUCCUUAAGUACUAAAUAUAACCAUCAAAUAAAUAAAGAAAAGGAUCCGAAUACAACCAACACCUAAACUUAGGGUUUUAUCUAACAGAAUUCCACGAGUUUUGGUGUUUGUCUAUUUCUGCAGGGGGUUAUCAGGAAAUAUGGAGGAAAGGCCCACAUGUCGGGUUUACAUAGAGAUAUGAACAUACCGCGCAAUUUUCUAUAUUCUAGAAGACUCGGGGCAGGGCGCCCGCCCUGCCCCCUUGGGCGCCCGCCCUGUCGCAGUGUCCAAUCAGGACUCGCUUCAGGGAUUAUGCUCCACCGACCUAAAGGAUCAAGAAUAACCGUUCAAUCAAUGUCGGUUUGAUCCGACGACCCAGAUUCACUUGAGGGGACUAUAUAAGCAGACCCCCUGGCCCCUGGAGGAGGCACCCCUUGAUCAUUAUUCAUUAUUCAUAGACAGAGCAAAAGCUAGGGUUUGGAGAUGAGAGCUCUCUUCUCAUCUCUAAACUAGAGUAGAUCUAGAUAGUAGCGAGAUGGAGAGCGAAGGAGGAUUAGAGGAGAGGCCGGCCUGUCGGUUCUUCCUCCGAUUGUACUUCGCCAUGAUCAAGCUCUAAUCAAGCUUGCUCAUGGGAUGACUCUGGUAAUCUACUUCUAAUUCAUUAUGCAAUUACUAAUCAUGUAUGUUAUGGUUCACAACUCUUUUGAGUACUUCUAAUCUAUAGGACCCUAUAGGUUAGAGUUUUAGUAUAGGUGUAAGCGUGGUGCUUAGACCUAGAUUACUUGUGAUCGUGUGGUAGGCCGCGUAGGUGACAGUUACGUUGGUCCCCUGUAGUCCACCUCUUGUUAGCAGGACGGGUAGGGUUUAUCGGCCUAUGGAUAAGCAUCCUUUGUGGUGUAUUCUUAUCACGUGGUUCAUCCCAGACAUAGACAUAUCCCUUUGAAGUAGAGAAACCAUAGUUACCCUCUCUAUUCUGCUAUCAUCGCCCGUAUACUAGAUUGCUCAAUUCUCUAUUCCCCUACUAUUACCCAUUGUUAUCUUAUCUUUAAUAUUGUUCUUAUUCAAUUAUACCAUCUUUCCUAUUUACACUUAUCUAUCUAUCUUGGUUAAGUUAGAGCGUAGUUGGUUCUCCUGUUUUCCUGUGGAUACGAUAAAACCUUUAACCGGGUAAAAGCUACAACGGUAUCCGUGCGCUUGCGGAUUUAUCUGUGUGUGUAUAAAUACCAUAGUACACUGUAGUGCCAUGCAGGCCUAGUAUUCAAGUGGUGUUAGCAAGUGUCAACGAGCAUUUUUUGCGACGUUGCCGGGGAAACGGUUGCUGAGUUGACUACAAACUAGCUUAAUCAUUUUCUAAAAAAUAAAAUUAAAAAUUAAAAAUAUACUUUUCCUUUUAUCUUUUGCCUUAUCUCUGCUAUUCUUUCUUCUUAUCUAAUACUUGAUCUCUGGUCUAUCAUGAAUUCAAACAUGUAUAUCUAUGAAUUUAAUAGACCUAUGGGCACACAUCUCGAACCACCAAAAUCUUCAAAGCCUAUCAUAACAUCUAGUUUUGAGAGAAGCCCAGAAUACAUAGAAUUUCUUCAAAAACAACCUUUCUCACGAGAAGGUGAGGAAAACCCAUACACACACCUAAGAGAGUUUUAUCGAGUCUGUGACCUCCUUCGCAUAGAAGGCAUGUCCGAUGAGACCCUUAAAUGGAAGCUCCUUCCGUUCUCUUUAACGGGAAAAGCUAGACAUUGGUACAAACUCAAAGUACGGAGUGUUCAUGGAGAUUGGAAGGAGUUACAUAAUAGUUUUCUUUUAAAAUAUUUUCCAAUCUCCAAAGUGGUGGAACUUCGGCGUGAGAUUCUUUCUUUUAGACAACUGGAAGAAGAAUCUCUUGGCAAAUCAUGGGACCGCUUUAUUAACCUUACUCUCACUAGCCCAAAGCUUUCUAUUCCAGAACAAGUUCUUCUAUUUCACUUUUUUAAGGGCCUUAGUAGGAAAAAUAAGCAAACCCUUCAUGCGGCCUCUAGAGGAUCUUUCCACCACCUGUCUGCUAGUGAUGCUUGGAAUUUGAUUGAUUUAAUGAGCGGAAAGUCUCCUAGCUUUUAUAUCCCUGAGAAAGAGAAAGAACUAAUUCCUAGACAAUAAGAAGAAGUUUCAAUAGCCAGAUCACAACCACUUCAAUUCCAAAAUUUAGCUAUCGAUCCUAAACCAUCAAUACCCCAAAAUUCUUCAAGGGAGGAAGGAAUUCCGACCUUAAAUCUUUCAGAUACUGAUGGUUUAGACUUUUGGUUCCAUAAGAAACCUUCAAGCUGGGAUAAUCCAAGUCCUUGCAAUAAUGGUUCUCUUAGAGAAUGUCGUGGUUCCUGUUAUGAAGAAGUCGAGGAUGACAUAUCAAGUGAAGGAGAGCUAAGCCAUAUAGAAAAUUCUAACAUCUCCCCUUUCCUGAUCACAAGUUCUAAAUGGCUAGAAUGUGUAGAAUGGAUGGAUAAGGAAGAAGCCUUAAUGGAUUCUGACUUUGGCUCAAUUUCAAAUGGUGAGUUCUUGACUCCCUUUGAAGAUGGGAUUCAUCCAACUAUAGAAGAGGACAUAAGUGAGACCAAUCCAGGAGAAACUCCGAACAUUCAGAUUGGAGACGAAGAUAACAUUAAUGAGCAUGGAAUUUAUUUCAUAGCCACUUUGUUUACUCCGUGCUCAUAUGCAACAUCUUCCCAAUCUAUUGGUCUCUCCGACAUCACCACACUUGAGAUCUCCAACCCCCUCUUCCUUUCUAUUUAUAAAAACUUUAAAAGGGCGAUUGUCGAUGCAUAUGUCUAUAAUAAAUAUUGCAGAUCUCGUCGAGUUGAUCUUGAUAUAGAUCAGCGUUGGAAGGGAAACCACUUUGCCGACAUAAAUUGAUGGUUUCCCAAGGACAAGCUUAGUGUCCUAAAAUAAGCACUGAUCAGAUUGUAACAUGAGCUUUUAAUUAUUUGCUACAUUACCUUGUGUAUUGAGCAUAUAGGGAUAAUUAUAAAAAUAUUCCUUCAGGUAUUCUUGUCACUAACCUUUCCAGGAUUGGAGCAAGAAGAUCGGAUGAAUGACAAGCACAAGGUAUGUCCAACCGAUCAUCAUACAACAUUGAAUUAAAUUCAUCCAAACAUGAAUUUUGCAAAAUUCAAGCUUGGGGGAGUACCUUACAUCCUUUGUCUUGUUGCUAUGUUGGUUGUCCCUACCUUCGAGACAUGCUUAAUUUGUUAAGUACUAAUCACACUACCUCAUCUCCACUUGAGUAGAUCUCUAUAAAUGCUGUCAUGCUACCUUUGUCUAUUUACUAGCAAUUGUUGGUUUGGAAGUACUCGACAUACUUCCAUUGGCAUUUAAAUUAAGCAUGGUGCUUAGGUUAAAUAGCCUUCCUUAAUCUGAUUAGACAUGGAGUCUAGUUUGGUUACUGAACUAAAAACUGCUUGAGUAGAUAUUGGUAUAUUUUGUCGGACUAACCCCUGCAGGAAAAAUUUUAAUAUCAACCUGAGAAGUCCUGAGAUAAACUCACAUUAGAGAAAAGGAGAGAGACACAUGAAGUUUAACAAUUUACACAAGGAAGACAUAGCUCAUAAGAGAUGAUCCAUGGAGGGUGCCACAAACACGAUGCAUAAUCACUAAGAAAGGGAAGCUUCCACAAGGUGAGAUGGUACCAUCACUCUUCAAUUAAGGUAACAUCUUAAGAUAUGUGACUAUCACUUUUAUAAGCUUCUCCUUGGUUCUAGUGUUCAGAUAAAUAAAAAGACAAACAUGAAUGAUUUAUAACUCCAAAUUAACCAACCCAACUGAUUCAGCUUGUUUAGUCCUUAAUCUUUGUUCCUAGUACUACCUCCAUGAUCCCACACUCCUAAUCAUAUGAGCUAAAAUGUUACACAUUCAAUCUAUGAGAGAUAUAAAGAAAAAGACAUAUACAUAGAUAGAUUAUCUCUCCAUAAGGUUGAGCGAUCUGAUCUGAAAAAUGUUAUAAGUGCUACACUCAUGAACUUAUCAUUCAUCUUUGUCUUGCUCACUAUGCUUAAGGAUAGAGAAGAACAAAUACACUUUUGGUUCUGUUGGUGUUUUCCACCAACAGGACCCAUGCACUUGAUCUCUGCCUUGUCUCUAUGAGCAGGUACACUUGGAGCAAAACAUGGUGGAGUUUUACAACUCUCAGACUCUACCAAGUGAAGGACCUGGAUCUACGAGAACAAACACACUAAGCAGGAUACUGCAAACACCGCACUUUGAACUACUGUGCAAACGAAGAACAUGGGUGACACCUCUUGGGUAUUUUAAACGCAAACAGAAAAAUCAGCAAGCGCACGGAUACCGAUGUUGCUUUCACCCGGGAGUAUUCCAGAGUAUCGAUUUUCCACAGAGAACGUGAGUGUACUAAUUAAGAUCCAAGAUCGCCCAAGGAUAACUAUAUGAUUAUUUUUGGUGGGAAGAGAGGAAGUUUCCUGAGAGUUCUAUAGUGGAUCUAAGAAUCAAGAAUUACUUCAAGAUUAUUUAUAUCGGGACAUCAGAGCACUAACCACAGAAAGAGAUGAGAAGGGGGCUAGGAAGGUCUGACUACGGUCCUACAAACACCGAUCCGAACGUGGUGGAAUACGUCGACCGUUAGGGCUGUCACUACCCUAAGGCUACCACAACAAUCCGCAGGAUUGGGUGCAAUUCCAGGUAAUCGCAAGACUAAACACCACGUCUAAUCUAUUAAUUACUACUCUAGCGUUAUAAAGACUAAAGCACUUGAUGCAAGCGGGAAUCCAAUAAAUAACUUGAAUGUAAAUAAAAGUAAUUAAAGAACUCAGGAAUUAUGAAUUGAAGAACCUGGAGAACGAUGAAGAACGAACCAGUUGCUGCAAAAGUACAAUGUUGAGGAAGAUCCGAUAGAUCCGGCUCCUCCUCCGCUCUCCUCUUCUCUCUCCCUAUUUUCUAGAUUACAACUAGAACUAACUAGAACUAGAACUAGAGGAACUAGAAUUAGAACUAGAUGAACUAGAACUAGAUCUAGAUGAACUAGAGGUACAGCUAGAAGAACUAGAGGGAUCCUCUCUACUUGGAUGAAGAAUUGAAACCCUAGCUUUGAUUCUGUAGAAGAGGUAUGAUCUCCAGGGGCCAGGAGGGUGUGGUUUUAUAGUCCCUUCAAGUGAAUCUGGGCCGUCGGAUCAAACCGACAUUGAUCGUGUGGUUUUCCUUGAAGUAUUAGGUCGGUGGAGUGUUGUCCCCGAAUUGGACUCUGUUUGGUCCAGUGGGGAGGGCGGGCGCCCUGUAAGGGAGGGCGGGCGCCCAGUGCCCGGCUCCGUUACGUCUCCCGUUCGUUCCCGUGGCUUCCGGAGUCUUCUAGAUGGUAGAAAAUUGCGCGGCACGUUAAUAUCUCUAUGUAAACCCAACGUGUGGGCCUUUCUUCCUUAUUUCCUGAUAACCCCCUGCAGAAAUAGACAAACACCAAAUCUCGUGGAAUUCUGUCAGAUAAAACCCUAAGUCUAGGUGUUGGUUCCAUUUAGAUCCUUUUCCAUGAUUAGUUGAUGGUUAAAUGUGAGCAUUAAGGACCGUCAACAAGCUUCCCCAAGCUUAACCUUUGCUCGUCCCUGAGCAAAGAUGGACUCAAGAGUUUCUGCAGUGGUUUCAUAACUUAAAGAUACACAUGCGUUUAAACAAGAUCUCAUCUCUGGUUAGAGUAAAUUGUUAAGACUUAAAACUUACUCAUUUACCUUUCACCAUGGGACUUGUAACCUUCACUUCUGUCUUGAGUAGUUAAAAGAUAGAACAGUUUAGUCAAGUACCAUGUCUCUUGUUCUUCGAUUAACUAUAGCUCUGGAGUUUUUGCAGAUUUUCAAAUAAAACUCAGAGAUUCCUUGUAUGACUCUCUCUAGUCUCUCUUUUGUGGUAUUUCUGGAUCGUUACCAAGGCAAUACUGGUAUAUGACUUCUCUCAAAGUAUGUGGUAUUUGUGGUAUAAGGCAUAGUGGCAUUGCCUUCUCUCUCACCCUACUCUUAUAAGGUUUUGAUAUCUGGAGCUCAUAGGUGGGAGACAGCUAAUACAUACUUACAAGACAUUUAUUGCAUAGUCAAACCAUGGAUCCAGAAGAACAAGUCAAUAAGUCAAAUCAAGAUGUGCAUGUGUGCCGAAUGAAUGGUGCAUGGUAAUGAUGGUGAUAACAAUGGUGAAAGUCUAAUUCCACUUGUGCUCUUUUGAGGGGAUACAUACAUUUCUUGCUCUUUUGAAACUUUUUGAGGAGAAUGAGAUGCUCUAUAUAUAUUUUUUUCUUUUUCUUCUCUCAGGUGGGUAUCUUGUACCCCUAAUUCUACUGUCGGACACUUGUCCAUUUUUACCUCUCGUCUCACUUUUUUUUCUUUCGAGGUUCCGGGCACUUGCCCCUUUUUAUUUCCUCGUAUUUUUUUCUCUUUUUUUUUCUUCUUUUUUUUCUUUUUUUUAGAGCACUCAUCUCCUGAAAUAAUAUAGCAAGUGGUAGUAACCAAGAUAACUUGAGCAUUUAUUUCACAGGGGAAAACAGAAAUGUUUUUGCCUAUUCUCUCCUGGAUUAGGAGUAGAAUAUUUUUGGGUGGUUCUGGGGAUGGAAAUGGGUGGAUAUAUGUGGAUGGUACUUCCGGAGUAGAAGUAGCAUGUGUGAGUGAACGUGCAAGUGAAUCUUGAUUUAACCACAUGACAAGCUUCUAAGGGUCUACACAGCUUGACCACACUCAAUGCUCAUAAGCAGUAAAAAGUAAAUGUGUGGCUCAAAGUCUAGCAAGCAUGUAUAUAUGGCUGUGGUAGGAAUUUAAACUCUCAUCAUACAGGAACUCAUCAUGUGAUAUUUUAAAGAUUUUCAAAGAUAAAAUUCUCCAGAAUUCUAGCAUCUCUAGGAACAGAUAAACAGCAGCUCAACCUUCCCAUAUCGUAUCCGUUAACUACUUAGACUUUAGAUCAAGUACUCUCCCCACAAGUUCAGGUUUAGAGCAUAUCUUAAUUAAUACCAGUCAUGCCUAAACUUAAGAGAGAUUUCAAUUUUGAGAACUAGUCAUGGCAGAGCAACUAUUCAUCAUUUCCAUGUGAGAGCUUAUCAUGAGGGUUCAUAGCAAACUUUAUUUAUUUAUUUAUUUAUUUAUUUAUCAAACUAAGCAAAGAUAUAUAUAAGCACAAAAUCUUUAUUUGGGUUUUUAUGAUCAUGCAACUUUUUAUUAUUUGAGUAAAAUAUAAACGUGAGUAGAACACUUAGCUGGAUAAAUGGGGGUGCUCUCCCCCACGCUGGAUUUUGACGUAAUUUCUUCUGAUGUAGCUAGCAGCUGGCGGAGGUGUAUUUGAAUGUCGGCAGCACUCUGUUAGCGAUUAGGAUGUUCUCCAUCUGCUAGUCUUCUUUGAUCCUUGAAUUCUGUGGAGCUCAAAUAGACAACAAAGCUUUGUGGAACUAGUUAAGUGUUAGCAUGAAUAUCUAGCCUUUAUCAUGUCGAGCCUCCUCAAUAAAUAUUACUCUCUUUAGUAGCAUCAUAAAUUUAUUUUUAUAAUUUUAUUUUUUAUACGACAGGAAUAUAUUUAUUUCAUUUUUUAUGCCACCACAGUGAAUGUACUUAUGGGUUUUAUGCCAUGAGCAUACUCACAUGGGGCUUACUAUUUUAAACAUUUUUAUUUUCUUUUCAAGAUGAUAUGAACCUAAUUAACUAAGUAAACUAUUUUAAAUAAUUGAAAGGAAAAAGAUAACUACCAAGUUUACCUCUUGGCAAGGCGUUCGGUGUUUUUAAGUCCUCCGAACGGGACUCUCCAUUUUCUCACUCGUCCUGGGAUUCGCUGGAUGGCGUAGUCGGUGGUUCCGAUGGCGCCACUUCUCCUUCGUAGUCUGCCCAUCCAUCCUUGAUGAUUUGCCUCCUCUGGUUGCGAUUGCAUCAUCUCCUUCUUGUCCUGACCUGCUUAAAGUCUUCAACUAUAUAGUUAGGGUUAGUAAAAUAGCGGCGUACCUUCUCACAGGGGAAGUUCAUGUGGACUUCUCGGGUUUCAAUGUAGAUGAUUGCUUUAAUGAUGCUGAGGAACGAUCUUCUAAGGAUAUUGGGUGGAUCGUACUCAUCUUCUCCCAUGUCAAUAACCUUAAAACCUGUAGACAAAAUGAUCGUCUAUUUUGACAGGGACAUCCGUUAUUAUACCUUCAACCUUUCGGAAUGUCUGAUCUGCCAUCUGGAGCUGAAUGUAUGUCGGUUUUAGGGGCAUGGUUCCGAAUAGGAGCUGAUAGGUGACUGGGUCGUCCUUUUUGAUCAGGAACGGUGACUUAAGUCGACGAUCUUGACCUCCUUGAACUGUAGUGACCAUCUUAGCUGACUUGGUCCACAUUUGCUUGUUCCUGUUCCUCAUGUUGGUCCUCUUCCUUGGUUCAUGUCGAGAAUGCUCUGAGAUUUGUGUAGUCUUGUUCUUGAAGGAAAACGUCUCCUUCCUUCCCUUGAUGUAAAAACUGAUCUUGGCAGCACUAGCGUAGAUGACAGCUCCCAAAGUGUUUAGGAAUGGCCUCCCUCGGAUGAUGGGUGCCCUCUCAUC